GUUACUGGAGAGCUUAGAUGGCUUGCAUUGCUCAAUUUAUCUCAUAAUAGUCUCACAGGACCUAUCCCAUCAUUGCUGAGAAAAAUGAAAGAACUCCAAUCUUUAGAUUUGUCCUCAAAUCAACUGACAGGGGCUAUUCCACCUCAGUUAACUGCAUUGACAUUACUUUUCUCUUUAUAUCCUUUCCUUUUGUAUGUACCUAUGCUAAUUAUCUGAUUAUCAAAAUUAUAACAAAGCUUCAAGAUUUUUAACAGGUGAGCUUCCACUAAAAAUUUGCAAAGUCACUUCCCUUUCGCGUCUCAUUAUGUCAGAUAAUGGGUCAAGUGGUGCACAUCCACAGUGUUUGGGGAACCUUUCUUUGCUUGGUUUCAAUAAUCUUGCUAAUUAUCAAUUUCAAGGACCAAUACCAACGACUGUCCAAGACUUGUCUGUGCAUAUCUAAACAUCCAUAACAAUCACUUUGAAGGUUUGUUGCUGCAAUCUUUGACAAACUGUAAACACUUACAAAUUCUUGAUAUUGGAAACAACAAAAUAGGUGGUACAUUUCGGUCAUGGCUAUUUAUUUUGGAGAGCUAGAUGUCCUAGUUAGGGCGGUAAUUCAACUAGAGCAAACCGAGUUUUGAGCGGAGCCAAAUUCGAGCCAAGUUUAAUCGAGUCAAGCCGAGUCGGCUCGUUUAGCUAAUCGAGCCUAAAACUCUGCCCGAACUCGACUCGUUUAAUUUCACGAACGAGUCAAGCGAGUGAGCUCGUAUAAUUUUAACUUAAUCGAGCCUAAAUCUCUACCCGAACUAUUGGCUCGUGUAAUUUCGCGAGUAGAAUCGAGCCGGCUCGUUUUAUUAUAGAAGCCGAAAUUUUUGCCCGAAUUUGGCUUGUUUAACAAGCCGAUCUUUCAUCAAAAAUUUCAAACAUUUCUGAAUAUGUAUUUUCAGAGAAUUUCUCCAGCACUCUUAAGGCCUAUAAUUAUUGCAACUCUCACGUUAUGGACCACUGUGUAUUUUACAAGCACGACGAAUCAUGUUGUCAUUAUGGACUCCCCAAGCCUUAGAGGACUCAUUCCAGGUCUUAGGAGGACCACUGCCUAGCUCACCCUUUCGGAGUGAUGUAAAUUAUUUUCCAAACAUUAAAAAUAAAUAAUCAGAUUAAUCAAUACAAAAUUAAAGAUAUAAAAUCAGAAUAAAUCCUAAACUUUGAAUAUACAAAAAAAAUUAUAAUUGUAAAUUAUACAAUCAAAUUAAAAUUGAAUUAACUUCCCUCACACUUAAAAUUUAUAGCGAUCAAAUCAAAAUCGAAUUAACUUUCCUAUUACUAAAAUUUAGUUACAAUAUUAUUAGAUAAAGAGAAUAUAUAAUAAUCAAGGGAAAAUAGAUUUUUUUUUUUUGCCACUCAACUUAUUGUUUUUUAAGAAACUUACCACCCAACUAAUUAUUUUUUCCUUUUGCUCACUAAUGUUAGGUUUGGAUUUGUUUUUAGCCACCAACUAAGGUUCGGAUUUGAUUACUAGCAUUAUGAUAAUUUUUUUUGUCACUAAACUUAUUGUGUCUUUAGAAACUAACCACUCAACUAAUUUUUUUUUAAUUUACUCACUAAUGUUAGGUUCAGUUUUUUUUUGUCACUGAAGUUAGGUUCGGAUUUGAUUAUUAGCAUUACAUUAAUUCUGUGUAGCAUUUUUAAAAUAUGGCUCAUAAGAAUUUUACACGCAUUUUAUGACUUUUAAAAGAUGUAGUUUCAUUAAUAAUUUUAUUUUUUUCUUCCGAAUUAAAAUUUAGCGUUUGAAUUUUACACACAAAAAAUCGAAAGAAUAAGUUAUGAAAGUAUGCUUUAUAAGAGUCUUAAAAUACGUGCUAAACGGUAGAAAAAACUGUACACUAAUGACAGGUAAAUAGGGAGUAAUAAUAACAUAAAAUGAUGCACAAUCAUCGAAUUAAGUUUUCCUCUCUCUAUAUAUUUAUUUUGAAAAUUUUAAUAAGAUAAAGUUAUUAAAAUUUAUGAUAUAAAUUUAAGAGAUAUCUUAGAUUGAGUGGCAAAAAUUUAGUUGGGUGAUAAAUUUCUAAAAACACAAUAAAUUGAAUGGGAACAAAAUCUAUUUUCCCGAUAAUCAAAGUGACGAAAAAUCAAAGUCAUCUAAUAAGUCCAGAAAAAAUAUGACCAUUAGUAUAUCGGAAUAAUAUUCACACAUUUAUAUACGAGAAUAUAUGGUCCACAAGUUAGUGCACAAUGUCCAAGAAUCUUUAUUAAAGUAACACGGCAAGCAUGCAGCAUAUAAAUAAGAGUGGGCACUGGGCAGUAUGGUAUUGCAUUCAUAACCCACUUGAGGAGAAAUAUGGCACACUUCCUAAAGCCUUCUCACCUUCUUCUCUUUGUUUUCUUUCUCUCGUUACUUCAAUCCAUUCUACUAACAAGACCAGAGGGAGAAGCUCUUGUGAAAUGGAAGAAUAGCCUUGCCCCUUCUUCUUUUCUCGAUUCUUGGUCACUCACCAAUCUCGAUGAUCUUUGUAACUGGACUGGCAUUACUUGUAACUCUGCAGGUUCAGUCUCUGAGAUUAACCUUUAUGAGAAACAACUUGAUGGAAUGCUGUCCGAGUUUAGUUUCACUUCAUUUCCAAAUCUUAACAGUCUCACUCUCGCAUACAACUUCUUCUCGGGUCCAAUACCACCAGCCAUUGAGAAUUUAACACAGCUUCAAUAUCUUGAUUUAAGCAUCAAUAGUCUCGAUGGUCUCAUUCCGUUCCAGGUUAGCCAUCUUCAGAGGUUGCUCGUCUUAAACCUGUCACAGAAUGCAUUGCAAGCUCCAAAUUGGUCCCAAUUCUCUCCCAUGCCCUUUUUGUGCAGCCUCAACCUCAGUAGCAAUCCUCUUGCGUCGAAAUUCCCAAAUUUCAUAUCCAAUUCUCAUGGCCUGACUCACCUUAGCCUUGAUCAAAACGAGUUUACAGGUGAUUUAGCGCGUGAAUCAAUAUUUGCCAAUCUGCAUAAUCUUGAAGUCCUCAGUCUUGUUGGCAAUUCUUUUGAGGGGCCAUUUCUGCCAAAUAUAUUCAAGCUUUCCAAAUUAAAACGUCUCACCCUGUCAAGUAACAAAUUUUUAGGAUCAAUUCCCAAUGACAUAAGGUUGCUUUGUGAUCUUGAAUUCCUGUAUUUAGGAAACAAUUCUUUUGAAGGACCGCUUCCACCAAAUAUAUUCAAGCUUUCAAAAUUAAAACAUCUUGUUCUUUGGAGUAAUAAGUUUUCAGGUUCUGUUUCCAAUGAUAUAGGUUUGCUUUCUGCGCUUGAACUUUUGAAUCUUCACUCUAAUUUUUUUGAGGGGCCGCUUCCGCCAAAUGUAUUCAAGCUCUCUAAACUAAGGUUUCUUAACCUCUGGGGUAACAACUUUUCAGGUUCUGUUUCCAAUGAUAUAGGUUUGCUUCCGGAGCUAGAAAUCCUCAAUCUUCACUCUAAUUUUUUUGAGGGCCGCUUCCGCCAAAUAUAUUCAAGCUCUCUAAACUAAGGUUUCUUAACCUUUGGGGUAAUAACUUUUCAGGUUCUGUUUCCAAUGAUAUAGGUUUGCUUCCUGAGCUAGAAUUCCUCAAUCUUCACUCUAAUUUUUUUGAGGGUCCGCUUCCGCCAAAUGUAUUCAAGCUCUCUAAACUAAAGUUUCUUCAUCUUCGAGGUAAUAAGUUUUCAGGUUCUGUUUCCAAUGAUAUAGGUUUGCUUCCUGAGCUUGAAAUCCUCAAUCUUCGCUCUAAUUUUUUUGAGGGGCCGCUUCCGCCAAAUGUAUUCAAGCUCUCCAAACUAAGGUUUCUUUCCCUUAAGGAAAAUAAAUUUUCAGGUUCUGUUUCCAAUGAUAUAGGUUUCCUUUCUGAGCUUGAAUACCUAUAUCUUGACUAUAAUUUAUUUGAAGGAAGUAUUCCUAUUGGACUGGGACUCUUGACUAACCUCAGCUACUUAGAUCUAAGUUCCAAUAAUCUCAGUGGCUAUAUUCCAUCUGACAUUGGAAACCUGAAGCUACUAGUAUUUCUUGAUCUCAGUUCUAACCAAUUGACUGGACCGCUUUUAAAGAUCGUUUCUAAUCUCACAAAUCUUAUGAAUCUUGAUGUAAGUGAUAAUAGUCUUAGUGGAAAUAUUCAGAGUGACUUGUGGAAGAACUCUAUAUCCUUACGUUACAUUAAUUUUGCAAAUAAUUAUUUGUCUGGGAACAUUCCUAAGGAAUACAACGAUCAUCCAACUUUGGAAUACAUCAAUUUAAGUGGGAACCAUUUUACAGGUAUAUUUUUCUCUAUAUAUCUUUUCCUUUUCUCAUAUGUAACUAAGCUGGUAAUCUGAUUAUUGCAGUUUUACCAAAGUUUCAACAAUCUUGACAGGUGAGCUUCCAACAACAAUUUGCAAUGUCACUUCCCUUGCGGUUCUUGUUUUGUCAAAUAAUGGAUUAAGUGGAGCACUUCCAAAUUGUUUCGGGAAACUUGCUGAUAGAUUGCUUUCCAUUAAUCUUGCUAAUAAUCAGUUUCGAGGAACAAUACCAACUACUUUCUCCAGGAGUUGUCAGGUGAAAUAUCUAAACAUGGAUAAUAAUGAGUUUGAAGGAUUCUUGCCCCCAUCUUUGGCGAACUGUAAGCACUUGAAAAUUCUUGAUAUUGGCAAUAACAAAAUAGGUGGUCCAUUUCCGUCAUGGCUUUAUGUACUUGGAGAGAUAGAAGUCCUUGUCUUGCGAUUAAAUAAACUCUAUGGUACAAUAAGUGGAAGGAGCGUAAAAGAUCCCUUCCCCAAGUUGCGGAUUGUGGAUCAAUAGACAUCGGCUAAAAAGCGAUGUCUAUGUAAAAUCAGACCGAUGUCUUCGUGGGUGAUGAGAAAAGUAAGUGCAUUACACAUCGCUUUCUAGCCGAUGUCUAUAACCUAUUUACACAUCGUUUAAUAUGACAAUCUGAUGUAUUUUUUAACAGUAGAUACCUUCACUAUAAUUUCAGUUCCUCAUUCCUAUGCCCUCUAUAUCAUUUUAAACUUGUCACAUGCUUAAUAAAAUGAUACUUUAACAUCUUAAAACUUGUAAAAUAGAUGUAUAUGAUAACCUUUUACAUCAUGCUUUUAUAGGAAGUGAUGUGGUACCCUUCUUUUCUUUAAGAAAGCGAUGUCUUUGUUCUUGUUUUACAUCAGUGAUUUUUAUACUCUGAUAUCUAUUAUAUAGUUUAACAUCAGGCUUUUUCUUGUUAACUGAUAUGUAUUCAUUCUUAUGACAUCGCUUACUAAGUGAUGUAAAUGUUAGUUUUAAAUUGCCAUGAAUCCUCCUGUUUCUUAUGAAUCCCCCUGUUUCAUUUAAAUUUCCAACAAAUUCCAAAACAACACCAAAGCUAUACUAAUUAAACAACCAAUUACCAAUGUCUAGCCUACCAUAACAGAACUAAAACAAAACUAGCUAGCAAAACAAUACUUCCGCAAAAGCCAAAUAUAUUACCAUCAAUCAUUACCAAUCAAAUUACAUCCCACAAUCAAAGAAACUGCACAAAUCCUAAAUAUUAACCAAGCAACCAUAAUUUACAAGCAGUUCACCACGUACUCCAGCAACCAUAAUUUACCAACUACAUUUCCCUCCAUUUAUCAACAAAAUCUACUUAGCUAGCUAGUGUCACUGUCUUACAUAAACUGAACUAAUUAAAGGAAACCAAAGUUCUCCAAUAAACCAAAGGCCUGUUUAUAAGAAGGACUCGAUAUGGCUAAGUGUCUCAAACCGAACCUCGUCAAGCUCAGCCUUGGAACAAAUCACUUUUCGAUUCUUGGAUGCCCACUGAAAAAUGUAAAACAAUAACAUUGAAUUAUACCUAAAUUUAUAUGUACACCAUUUAAUUAUAUCAACAAUGGAUUAGGCAAAGAAAAAUACCCUUUUAAAAAAUGUCAUUUCAUUGUCCAUGACAAUCUCUUUCAUAUACCGCAUAAUAACAUAGCCGCAUUCAGUUCCACCGGGCUGUUUAGGACAUCCCUAUUUAACCAAAAAAAACUCAAAAUAGUAAGUAAAGUAAUGCCCCUGGUUCUAAGCAUCAGUAGCACAAAUUGUUAAAAAUAAAUACGAAAGCUUACUGUAAUAUAUUUGAAGCUUGGGGCUUUAUUUCCCCUUCCGGCCUGAACAUUGAAAGUAAUCACAGCCCUGUCAUCUUGGCAGUGUUAAUAAUGCACAUGCAUUUAUAUCUCCAUAAGAAAGAUAAUCAAUAAAAAAAUAAAUGAAAAUACCUUGAUAUUGCUUUUUCCAAGUUGGGGAAACUAGUUGAACGAGGCAGAGGAUUAAGUAUGAAAACCUCGCCACCCCAAAACAGAACCAAUACCCAAUGGAAACUAUUUUUAACAAAUAUUUAUGAAAAACACAAUUACUAUCAAAAUCAUAUAAAUUUUAUUUUCAGUCAUGUAAAAAACUAAAUAAAAGAGAUUUAUAAUAAAUAAGAAAACACUUAAGCUACUUACUUGCUAUUAUGCGGCAUCAAAAAGAGACGAUCAGGAUUACCCUCUUUAAAUCGAUUAACCAAGUUAUCUUCAAAAGAAUUGUUCAUCAAGUUCAGCGAGGCUCCAGGAUCACAAAAAGCAAAUUGAUCCUUAGUGCCAUUUUCACGAACCACGCAAUGCAAGUAUCUACAUUGUAAAUGAAAUGAAAUUAUAUAAAAUUACACGAAUAUGAAUUAUAACUAAACAACAGUCAUGAUCUAGAAGACAGUAAUUAAAAAAAGUUUACUCACGCCAUGUAUGCAGCAAUUGCUGCUUGGCCAAUCAUAUUAAACUCCAGCAAGGCGACUAUGUUUUCAUACAAGAUGAAGAUUCUUUUCUCGAUACCAAACACCUCAGCAUCACACGGGAUUUGAAUUGAGUCUCCGGAGGAUUGCAUAAAUGUUGUUGCAUGUUUAUACAACAACCGAAAGCGUUUUGGAACAUUUUUAUUGAUCUCCAUGUUAUGAAACAAGGACUGGACUUUAUCUAAAUCGGUUUUAGGUUCCUUUACUUUCCGUUUACCUUUCUGAAAAAUGAACAAAAUUAAUUUAAAACAAAAUAUAACAAAAUAUAGGGGUAACAUAUAAUAGUACAAUCCAGUACAACAAUUAUGUUAAAGUACACACCAUAGUAGGAAUAGUAGGAGGGGCAUUUGGGAAUAUGAUCAAGUCGCGGGGCCAUGAGACGUACGAGCCAACAGCUUGCUCUACUGUUUCAAUCUCACCUGGUACCGGUUUAGGAAUCUUGGCUUGUCCUUGAAUUGGGCCAUCCACUGAGACGCGAACACAUCCAGGCUCUAUCGGCACUCCAUGUAUAGAUUUGUUCAUGUUAUCAUCAUCAAACAACAAACCAAAUGCCACUUUAUUUUCUAUUGUGCCUACAGCCAACUCACAUUUUCGUGGACCGGCCUACACACAUAUAUUUAAACAAUUAUGACGAAUGCUUGAAAUAUGUUGAGCUAAAUUGAAUAAAUGUGCUAGUUAUUUUACCUUAUUCUCUGGUGGAUUAGGUUCCAAGUCAACUUCAAUCAUCUCUGGUUCCAGUUUUUUCACCACCUCUGUCUUAGCUUCUUUGACAGUGUUUGCCUCACAACUUGCUUUAUCAGAAGCAAUAGGAGAUGAAAUAUUUGCUUUGCUGAGCAAGGCCUUCAUUUCAGCCAUCUCCUGCCUUGUCUUCUCCAUUUCCAUGGCCAUCUCUUUCUUGGCUUUCUCCAGCUCCGCGUCCCUCUCUCGAUCCCUCUCCAACAACUCAGCUUUGGUGAUUCUAUUUCUUCUUCCUGGUGGUAUAUUAAAAAAAAUUGACGGGCUCACAAAGCCUCCAACUCCUCGAACCCUCCCCGAAUGUUCAGGAGUUUGUAGGGCCGUAGUCAACACAUCUCGACUCCCAGAAGGAGUGAAUUCCCCCUUACUUUGCUGCUCUAGUAAAAUAUUCUGACAUGAAAAAUAUGAACAUACAAAUCAUCAUCUAGUGAACCUCAUCAUCAAUAUUAACUUUAAUUUUACGAGCCUUUUAAUUAUAAAUACUCACAAUUCUUUUUCCUAUUUCAGCUAGGUCUGAAUCCUCAUCAUCAGCAUCAUCAGCCUCAUCAUCAUCAUCAACAUUAUCAUUAUCAUCAUCAAUUUUAAUUUUACGAGCCUUUUGCCACAUGAGAGCCCGAUCAGGUUCUUCAUCGGCAGCCAAAGUUCCUUUCUUGAUCUGAUUAAAAUCAAAAAAAAAUUAAAAAGGCCAAGAUAUGUAAAAUACAAUUAUUUAGGUUCAAUGCUUAAAAUACAACUAUUUUUAUACCUCUUCUUCCAAUAAUCCAAUGUAACCCUUUCUUGAUGUCCGGUGAGGAUAUUUUCGAUUACUCACCCUCAGCUUUUGUUUUUCACUAAAAGACUUCAAAUAUUUUAAAUAAUAUUAGAAUACUAUUUUUCAGAAUAUAAAAAGACAUUUAUAUCACAAUAAAGCAGAACAUAAAAUAUAUUUCAUACCAGAAAUUUCGAGGUAGUCCUCUCAGCAACAAAAUUUUUCCAAGCCUCCUUUCCAACAAAAGCAUACUUCUUUGGAGGCUUUCGUAAUUUCUUCUUCUGCCCAAGAUACGGCCUCACAUAAUCUCUUGUUAAAUUUGCUUUAAAAUUCCUCCACUUUGCUCCUGCAGACCUGAUCAACCCCUUCUCAAGUUGCUUAGGAACUUUAAAUGUCUCCUGCAACCAAUGUUAAUUGACAAAAUUUACAAAAUUAUACUCUAAAUGAGUAGAAGAAAAUGCAAAAUUUACAAAAUGCAUAGGAGAUUACUUAUUUUUAUACCUUCACAUCAAUCCAUAUUUUCUCCUUUAGUUCAUCAGGUACCUUUGACCAGUUAGGAUAAUCAAUCGGAAUCAUUGUCCUAGCCAACAUUCCAGUGUAGGAUUGUAGACUGUGCCUUGCAUCCCCUGUAGGAACUCCAUGUGCAUUACAUGAAACCUUUGUUUUCUUGCCCUGCGCCUUCCUCACCACCACUUUAUACAUAGCAGAAACCCCUCGGGCACCCCCACGCUUUUUCUUUGCUGUUUCAGAUGUUGUAACUGUUGCAUCCGUUUCCUCCACAGAAUUCACAUUUUCUCCCUGAGGUUCUGUUGUCAGCUCCAACCUUUUAUCUGAUGCCUCAUCCGACUUUUUGGAGUCUUCAUGGAAUUGUACUUUGGUUUUUUGCUUUUUAUUUGCCAUUUAUCUUCUUCAAUCUGAAAAUGAAACAUAUAUAAUCCAUUAGUCACAGGCAUAUAUACGAGCAAUUACAGGAUAAGCAGUUAUAAAGUUACAUAAGCCUACAUAAGCCGUUACAAAAUUGUAAAAAUGCAUAACUAAACAUUUACACAGAGUGAAAAUUACAGGAGUCUAAUUACACAGAGUAAAUUACAAAGUUGCAUCACAUAUAUUACAUGACUUGAAAUAAUGUUAUCACAGAGUAAAUUACAAAGUCUCAUCACAAAAUUAACUAUUACAUGACUUGAAAUAAUGUUAUCACUUCUUAACCCAAGUGCCCUUAAUAUUUUCUCUAAUACUUUUCUCAACAUCAUCACCGACAUCACAUGUAGGAAUUUGGCAGCAGAAUGGAGGAUUUUCCAUGGUUGUGUCUCCUAAAUCAUCAUCGUUAUACACCUCUUGGUAGUCUCGAGUUGUAGAGGUUAAUACGACGGACCACUUGGCAUCCACCGGAUCUUCAAUAUAAUAAACUUGCUUUACUUGAUCUAUAGACACGUAUUUAUCUCUCUUGUGGCCUUGUCGACUUAGAUCGACAAGUGUGAACCCAAGAUCAUCCACCUUAAUUCCCUUGUCAUUGUCCGCCCAAUUACAUAAAAACAGUGGGGCUUUGAAUGCAUGAUAAUCCAGCUCCCAUAUAUCUAGGAUAACACCAUAAAAUGUCAAGUCACUUUCUACGGGGUUUAAAUCUUUAGCGCUAGACACUUGGACAGUUUUAGCAACUAAAGACACUCCGCUGUUUUGAACUACCCUCACAUUGUCUCGCUGUUUUGUAAAGUAUCGGACCCCGUCUACUAGAUAAGCUUCGUAAGUCAUAACUGAAAAUGAUGGUUUUCCAGCUAUCCAUCUUACUGUCUCUGAAACUCCUCCAGGAUUCUCCACCAUUUCACUACUGACCUACACAUUUCAUAAACAGAAAUUAUCCUAAAUUACUAUAGAGAAAAUAAAUUAGGCACAAAUGAAACUAUAAAAAUACUAACUUUUUCUAGAAACCAAUCAGCAAAACUGUUAUUGUGCUCUCUCAAGAGCCAAUGAACGCUUUUCUUUUUCCCACGAUGGAUUUCCUCUAGAUACUCCUUAUGCAUUCUGCCAAAAAUUAUAUAUUCAUUAAAGAAGUAGUUUAUACAGAAUGUAUAUAUUAAUUGAACAGCCACAAAAUUAAAAAAAUCUUACAAGAUAUAUGGCUGUACUUCAAGGUUGUUUAGAAGAACGUGUAAAUGAGCUUCAUCCCUCUCUUUUUCUUCGAUUGAUUUCAUUACCGCAACAGAUAAUGGACCACUUAACUUGCCUUCAUCUUUGCGAAGACCAGCAGUGGUGCAAGUUUGCUUGACAAACUCUUGGCAGAAUUCAAUCGAUUCUUCUCCAAGAUAACAUUCUGCUAUACAACCUUCGGGGUAGUAACGAUUGCGUACGUAACUCUUCAACACCUUAUUAAACCUCUCAAAUGCAUACAUCCAUCUAUAGAAGACUGGCCCACAUAACCGUAAUUCCCGAACCAAGUGCACUAUGAGAUGUAUCAUUACAUCAAAAAAUGAUGCAGGAAAAAUUUUUUCUAGCUCGCACAAAGUUACUAUUACAUCUGAUUGCAAUUUAUCUAGUUUAGAUACGUCGACAACUUUGCUGCAUAAAGCAUUAAAGAAGAAACACAAUCUAAUUAUUGUGACCCUGACUUUUUUUGGAAGUACCGCGCGAAUUGCAAUAGGAAGUAAUUGUUGAAGUAGGAUGUGGCAAUCGUGGGACUUCAACCCAAACAUUUUUAAUUCUUCCAUGGAAACACAGUUUUUAAUGUUUGACGCGUGUCCAUAAGGAAGUUUCAUGUGCAUUAACGAUGACAACAUCUUCUUCUUUUCUGCCUUGGACAAAUUAAAAAUCGAAGGAGGUAAAUAGGUCUUUCUUUCUCCUUUUUGUGGAGCUAGAUCAGCCCUAACCCCCAUGUCAAUCAUGUCAAGACGAGAAGCUUCACUAUCUUUAGACUUAUGUUUCAUAUUCAGUAGUGUGCCAAUCAAGCUAUCACACACGUUUUUCUCCACGUGCAUAACAUCUAGACAAUGACGGACAUGGUGAAAUUUCCAAUACUCUAACUCGAAGAAAAUUGACUUUUUCUUCCAUGGACAGUCAACCUUCUUUGACUUCCUUACUUCUUUCCCAAACUGAAAUUCAAUUUUUUCUUGCUGCAAUAAAACCUCUUCUCCCGAAAGAGGUUGACGUGCCUGCCCUAAUUCUUGUUGUCCAUUAAAAGCAGCUUUUUGCUUCCUAUAUGGAUGAUUUCUAGCCAAGUAACGUCGAUGACCUUGGUAACACAUCUUCCUACUAUGGCUUAAAUACUUUGCAACAGUAUCAUCACCACAUAUUGGACAAGACAUAUAACCUUUAUUAACACAUCCGGACAGAUUUCCAUAUGCGGGAAAGUCGUUUAUUGUCCACAAUAAAAUUGCUUUUAAAGUGAAAUACGACUUAGUGUGUGCAUCAUAGACAUUUGGUUCACCUUCCUCCCACAACUUCUUUAAAUCAUCGAUUAGAGGCUGUAAAUAUACAUCAAGGUCAUUACCAGGCUCAUGAGGACCGGGAACUAAAACUGUUAGCAUCAUAAACUUCCUCUUCAUGCAUAACCACGGAGGAAGAUUAUAAGUCACUAGUACUACUGGCCAACAAGUGUAUCUAUUGGUUAGACCGUUAUUAUGCGGGUUUAUACCAUCUGCAGACAACGCCAAGCGAAUAUUUCUUGCCUCACUACCGAAGGCAGGCCACCUAUAGUCGAUAUUUCUCCAAGAAGGAGAGUCGGCUGGAUGCCGCAUCUUUCCAUCUUCUAUUCGCUGCUUUGCGUGCCAGGUAAUCAGUUCAGAUGUAGAAGGAGAUUUAAACAUUCGCUUCAAUCUCGGAAUAAUUGGAAAAUACCACAUUAUUUUAGCAGGAACAUUAAUCCUUACUUUACCAUCCUUUCCUAACUUCCAGCGAGAUAGACUACACUUAGGACACUUAGAAGCAUCAACAUAUACCCCCCGAUAUAGUAUGCAAUCGUUUGGACAUGAGUGGUACUUUAUGUAUUCUAGGCCUAAGUUGGAUAAUGUUUUCUUGGCUUCAUAUGCAUUAGGUGGCAUCACAUUUUCCUUAGGAAGGAGAGAGCCAACAGUAGACAAUAAAUCUGUAAAGGCGCUAUCACUAAUUCCAAACCUUGCUUUCCAAUUAUGCAGUUUUAGCAUCGACUCCAAUUUGGUACAUUCACUACCCUCAUACAAAGGCUGUUGAGCAUCAGCCACAAAUCUCCUAAACUGAUACGACUCAUUAUUGUACUCACUCGAAUUAUACGCAGCAUCACAAACAUUGACUGUUUGUGAUGCAUGACCAGGGGAAUGCAUCGAUGCAGGGUCAAGCGUAGGUGCAGGGCUAGGGGCAUUGUCAUGAACUGUUGAUCCAGUGAUUCCACACCCUUGUGUGUGCCAAAUCCAAUCAAGGUAUCCCAAACUAAAACCGUAUUCAUAUAAAUGUCCCCUAAUAAUCUUAACUGCAAAUUUUUUAAAGUUAACACAUCUUUUGCAGGGGCAUGGGAUUUUUUUAGUAUCACUAGCAUUUUCCUCGGCAAAUAUUAAAAACUCUUCAACCCCGAUUUCAUAGUCAAGUGUAUCCCUAUCUUUGAAAAUCCAAGACUUGUCCAUGUUAUUCUCAAACUACCUGAUUGUCAAAUAUGAUAUCAAAUUACAUGGUAACAAAGAUCCAAACACAAUAUACAAUUACAUUUACAAACUAAACAAACACAAAUAUAUUUACACAGCUGUGCAUAAAACAUAAAAAACAAAUCCCAAGCUCUAAACAUAUAUAACACAGUACAUAAAAAAGAAACCCCAAGCUCCAAACAUAUAUAAAACAUAUAUACAACUACACGUUUAAUUUUCACAUGCAUACAUAUAACUACAAAAAGUUAUACUUGCAACCGAAACAUUUAUAUAAAUAUAAAGAAGAAUAUAGAAGAAUAUAUAUACCUAAAACCCAGCAGCUUCGAAACCCAGCACCUCCAAAAUCCAGCAGCUAUCCAGCAGCUUCGAAAACCCAGCAACUACCCUAAUCUCCAAGCUUCAAAUCUCCAAGCUUCAAAGAACCCUAAUCUCCAAGCUCCACUCGACCCUAAGCUUGAAGAUCGAACCUUAAGCUUGAACACAGCAGCUUCGAAUCGCGCACAAAUCGCACCUAGGGUUUAGAAGAGAGGGAAUCAGUUAAUAGAACAUUUGAAAGGGGGUUUAGAAGAGAGGGAAUCAGUUAUUAAACCAAGAACGAGGAUUGAAGGACUGAAGGAUUGAAGAAAAUCGCAUACCUAGGUUUAGCUGUCGAGAGAAAGGGGGAAGAGCUGCUGUCUGAAAGAAAUAUGUAUAUAUGUCCCGAUUGUUUUCUUUUGAAUGCUUUUGUUUUAAUUUUGAUUUAUUUUUAAUGUUUUUUUAUUGUUUUAUACUGAGGCGGGAGUGAAUGAUAUGUUAAAGGGGGGGAAAACAGUAGGGGGAACUAAUUAAAAAAUUGACUAAGGGCGGGGGAGCGGAGGGCGCGGGCUUUAAUAUUUUUAAAAUUGAGAUUAGACAUCGCUUAAUAAACAAUGUGAUGUGAAAAAAUUUUAAAGUGAGAGCUUAGACAUCACUUAUGUUAAGGACUGAUGUAAAGAUACCAGAAAGACAUCACAUAUAAAACGAGCGAUGUAAAAAAGGCAUUUUACAUCGGUGACACUUCCGACUGAUGUCUAAUGUGCGAUGUCUAUUGACGAAUUUCUAGUAGUCUCCAAAGGAUAUUUAUCUUUCCAUCAUGAUGCAGCAGUCUCCUUAACUGUGAAGGGAACGGAGUAUGAGGUAGCAAAGAACCUUCAUAUUUACACAGCCAUUGAUCUGUCGGGCACCUAAUUUCAGGGUCGAAUUCCAAACGUCACUGGAGAGCUUAGAUGGCUUGCAUUGCUCAAUUUAUCGCAUAAUAGUUUAACAGGACCUAUCCCAUCAUUGCUGAGAAAUAUGAAAGAACUCCAAUCUUUAGAUUUGUCCUCAAAUCGACUGACAGGGGCUAUUCCACCUCAGCUAACUGCAUUGACAUUUCUAGAGGUCUUGAACCUCUCGAAAAACCAUCUUAGUGGAGAGAUUCCUCAGAAAGGACAGUUCAGCACAUUCAACAAUGAUUCUUAUCUAGGAAACUCCGCGUUAUGUGGAUCACCUUUGACGAAGAAAUGUGCAAACACAGCAUCACCUCCACAAGAAGUCGGAAAUGGUGAUGAAGAUGAUGCUGGAGAUGAAUUGACAUGGGAAGCAAUCGUGAUGGGAUAUGGAUGUGGACUGAUAUGUGGAUUGUCAUCUGCGUACAUUGUUCUCAAACUAGGAAAGCCUUGGUGGUUUGUGAGAUAUAUCGAAGUACUGCAACUGAAGUUGAUGAAAAGAUAUGCAUGAAGAAUGGUACUGCACUACAACAAAAACAGCAUCACACAACGGUUUUUGCCCGUUGUCUGAUACCCAAGAAAACCGUGGUCUAUUGCGAUGCCGUCUGAUACGCGCCUCAGACAACGUUUUAUUAGUUAAAGGCUUGUCUAUAAGGCCAUGCUACGAUGGUAACAAAAACACUUGUAUGUUAGCUUCCUGGUCACACAACACUGUAUGGAACCCUUGUUUAAACGGCUCGUAAACAACACAACAAAUAAAACACUUGUCUAAUUACAACAACGGUUUCUUGAAAUAUUGUCUGAAGUUUCUUCACACAUCGGCUCUAAAAACAGUUGUCUAACGUGCAUCAUUACACAAUAUCACAGUUAAGAUACCGUUGUCUGAUUGAAUUUACUAGACAACACUUUUUAAACCGUUGUAGGUUGUAGGUGUUGGACAAUAGUUUUUCGAGGACGAAAAUAAAGUGUUGUGUCUUUGUUUCGGCCAACACUUUUUCCAGCGUCCGUUGUCUGACUAGUGUCGUGUGAUGCCAGUUUUGUUGUAGUGCUGGUUGAUCCAGACGAACUAGAAAGUUGUUGUCCUGGUAGACAUUUCUGAACCAUUUGUGUCCUGGCUGAAUAAGUAUUUGGUAUUAUGUAAUAAUCCGUUUGGUUGGGACUCAAAAUGAUUUCUCUUGCUUCAGGGGUAUUAAUAUUAACCUUCCUAUCUUGAUCAAUGUUAAAUCAAAUUAAAUGAAUGAAAAAACAAAAAGUAUGCAUCAAAUCCGCUCCUGCUGUACCUAACAAUUUAACAGCACCCUUCCACACUGUUCAUACCUAAUUUGCGUGUAAUAUGAAAACUAAGAGGCAUGGCUUUUGUCUUUGAGAGAACUUAUUCCAAGUCUUCUUCGGAGGCCUACUGCCUCAACAACCUUUCAAAGACUAUGCAAUAAUCCACGUGACAGAAAAACCAAAGUCCAAUUAGUAUUAUAAGUUCAUAAAAAAUACUAUAGGAUCAUUAGCAUUAGCAUUACAUUAGCAUACAGCAUAUAUAUAAAUAGAAGAAUGCAGUGUGGUAUUGGAUUCAUAAUCCAAUUGAGCAGAAACAUGGCACACUUUGUAAAGCCUUAUGACCUUCUUCUCUGUGUUUUCUUUCUCUCAUCACUUGAAUCCAUUCUUGCAACAAGACGAGAAGGAGAAGCUCUUGUGAAAUGGAAGAACAGCCUAGCCCCGUCUUCUUCUCUUGAUUCUUGGUCACUCACUCAUCUCGAUAAUCUUUGUAACUGGACUGGCAUUACUUGUAACUCUGCAGGUUCAGUCUCUGACAUUAACCUUUUCAACAAACAACUCACUGGAAAGCUUUUCGAGUUUGGUUUCACUUCAUUUCCGAAUCUCAACAAUCUCACCCUCGCAGAUAACUUCUUCUCUGGUCCAAUACCAUCAGCCAUUGGGAAUUUAACACAGCUUCAAUAUCUUGAUUUGAGCAAUAAUUAUCUCAAUGGUUCCAUUCCGUACCAGGUUAGCCAUCUUUCAAAAUUACACGUCUUAAACCUGUCAGAGAAUGAACUGCAAGCUCCAAAUUGGUCCAAUUUCUCCCCCAUGCCUUAUUUGACCAUCCUCGACCUUUAUCAGAAUAAUCUUAUGUUGGAAUUUCCAGAAUUUAUAUCUAACUCGCGUAACCUGACAUACCUUGACCUUUCAUAUAACAAGUUCACAGGCGAUCUUGUGCGCGAAUCAGUAUUAGCCAAUCCAGGUGAUCUCGAAACCCUCUAUCUUAAUGAAAAUUCUUUUGGGGGGCCAUUUCCACCAGACAUAUUCAAACUUUCCAAGUUGAGAGUUCUUGCCCUGUUCAAUAAUCUUUUUGAGGGGCCGCUUCCGUCAAAUAUAUUCAAGCUCUCUAAACUAAGAUUCCUUUUACUUUGGAGUAAUAAUUUUUCAGGUACUCUUUCGAAUGAAAUAGGUUUGCUUUCUGAGCUUGAAGACCUAGAUCUUCACUCCAAUUUUUUUGUGGGGCCGCUUCCGCCAAAUAUAUUCAAGCUCUCUAAACUAAGAACCCUUUUCCUCUUGGGUAAUAACUUCUCAGGUUCUAUUUCCAACGACAUAGGUUUGCUUUCUGAGCUUGAACACCUAUAUCUCGACUCCAAUUCUUUUGAGGGACCUUUUCCAACAAAUAUUUUCAAGCUUUCCAAAUUAAUACAACUUGGUCUCGCAAACAAUACAAAUUUAUUUGAAGGAAGUAUUCCUCCAGGACUGGGGCUCUUGACUAACCUAGAGGACUUGUCUCUUGCUUACAAUAAUCUUGGUGGCUAUAUUCCGUCUUCCUUUGGAAACCUAACACUACUAGUAUAUCUUAAUCUCGCUCGUAAUCAAUUGGUUGGAACACUAUCAAAGACCAUUUCUAAUCUCACAAAUCUAUGGUUUCUUGAUGUACAUCAUAAUAGUCUCUCUGGGAAUAUUCAGAGUGACUUCUGGAAAAACUCUACAUCACUGCGUUACAUUAAUUUGGCAGACAAUAAUUUUUCUGGGAACAUUCCUAAGGAAUAUAAUGUUCUUCCAAUCCUGGAUCACAUCAAUUUUAGGGGGAACAAUUUUACAGGUAUUUUUCUUUCCAUAUUUUUUCCUUCUGUUGUAUUCAAUUAUGCUAGAAACUACAGCCUCUGUUUUUUCAAAUACAUAUCGUUUAACUUUUUGGCACAAAACUUUAUAAUAAUUCUAACUAAAAGGUCAAUGAACUCAAAAAUGUGUGUCAAAAAGUCAAACGUCAUUUAUCUGAAAUCAGAGGGAGUAUAUAUUACUGUUUUACCAAAGUUUCAACAAUCAUGACAGGUGAGCUUCCACCAACAAUUUGCGAUGCCACUUCCCUUUCGAUUCUUGAUCUGUCAAAUAAUGGAUUUAGUGGUGCAGUUCCACAUUGUUUGGGGAAUCUUGCGGAUAAAUUGAUUUCGAUUAAUCUUGCUAAUAAUCAGUUUCAAGGACCAAUACCAACAAAUUUCUCCGAGAGUUGUCGUCUGACGUAUCUUAACAUCUAUAACAAUCACUUCAAAGGUUUGGUUCCCCAAUCUUUGGCAAACUGUAAGCACUUGCAAAUUCUUGAUUUUGGAAAAAAUGAAAUAGGUGGAACACUUCCGUCAUGGUUUUUUACUCUUGGAGAGCUAGAAGUCCUGAUCCUGCGAUCAAACAGAUUUUUCGGGAGAAUAACUAGAAGGAGCAUACCACGCCCCUUUCCCAAGUUGCGGAUUUUGGAUCUAUCCAACAAUCAGUUCACCGGCUAUCUGCCAAUUUUAUACUUCAAGAAUAUGAAACCAAAUGAUAAUAAUUAUGAUUAUUUCAACAACACAAACGAAGCCUAUUACGUUUAUCAAGUUUCUAUCACAUUAAAUGUGAAAGGAAGCGAGCAUGAAGUGACAAAUAUUCUUCAUAUUUACACGGCCAUUGAUCUGUCGUGCAACAAAUUUGAAGGAAAAGUUCCAGACAUUACCGGAGAGCUUAGAUGGCUUGCAUUGCUAAAUUUAUCUCAUAAUAGUCUUUCGGGGCCUAUUCCAUCACAACUGGGAAAAAUGAAAGAGCUCCAGUCUCUAGAUUUGUCGUCAAAUCAAUUGACAGGUGUUAUUCCGGAUCAACUUACUAGUAUGACAUUUCUUGCUAGUUUGAACCUCUCAGAAAACCAUCUUUCUGGGAAAAUCCCUCGGAAAGGACAGUUCAGCACUUUUGGCGAAGAAUCUUACUUAGGUAAAUCGGCCUUGUGUGGAGUUCCUUUGACAAAGAACUGUAUAGACGAUGUGCCACCUUCACAAGUUGGAAAUGGCAAUGAUGAAAAUGUUGAUGAAGAUGAUACCGUUGAUGAAUUCAAUUGGAAAGUGAUCCUGAUGGGAUAUGCAUGUGGAUUAAUAGGCGGAUUGUCUGCAGGAUACAUUGUCUUCACAGUCGGAAAGCCUUGGUGGUUUUUGAGAUACAUUGAGACACUGCAGCAGAAGUUGAUCUGAUGCGCAACUAGAAACAACGUUAUAAUCUUAGAAUGACUUGUGUCUUUAAACAGAGUUAGGAACUUAGGAUGACUUGUGGUGCUAUAUUUUUUUUUUGAAAAAAAAAAACAUAUUUUUGUAAUUUUUUAGAUACAGAUGUUAAGAAGGUGUUGUAUAUUCAUUUUUUACCCAAAAAAAAAAAGAGGGCUUAUUUCAUGAAAAUUAGAGUUUUAUGUAUUUUCUCCAGAAAUUAGUCCUUAUUUCUGAAAAUAAGGUUAGUCAAAACGGUCACUACACGAUUGGUAGCCUUUCAGUUCUUCCUAGUGUCCACUACAGUUUCAUUCCUUACCAGUUAUUUUAUGCUCUGCACUGCAUUAUGCAGCUUUCAUAUUACUGACAGCUAAUCUCCUUCCAACACUUUGCGAUGCGAAGCAGGGACGCAUAAGUAUUUUUAUAUGUGUAUUAGUUUUGAAGAUUAAAGUUGCAUGGACAAUUGUGUUGAUAAUUUGAGCAAUGUUAACCGGGAUAGGUCUUCUUCUCUCUCCCAAGUCUUCUGAGGACUCAUCGGCUCAGAUUAGUCUAUCCAAAAAUUAUGAUCUGACGGCUAUUGGCACACUAACGAUUUACAUAUCACUUGAAUAUUACUGGAUACCCGCAUCUUGUUUUAAAUGGCGUAUAUCGGCUAAUAGUUCAACGAUGGUGACAAAUCCCGGUGAUCCAAAUAAUUGAUUGUCGCAAAAUUUUCCGCUUACAUCCAACUAACACGUAUUAGGAAAAAAAAUUAUAUAAUUAAACACGCUCAUGUAUCUAUAUCUUUUACAAGAUUGUAAGUCCCCAAUUCUAUGUGAUAUUAGCUAUAUGUGACUAGAAGGUUUAGAAAUACUAGAUUAUCAAGAUUUCUUUUUAUUCUAGCUAGUGUUGAGUUAUAUUUAUUUUCUUCAAACAAUCAAUACUUAUUUUUUAUUAAUAUGUGAAACUCCAAUAUAUAUUAUUAUACGAUAUAUUAUGAAAACACUAUAUUUUGUAAUGUUCAUCUUAUCCUACCAGCAAAAUUACAUCGCUAACAAAAUUAUAUCAAUUUUAUUUUAUAAACUCAAAUAAUUUAAUUUAUGAAACAACUCUAUGAGAUUCUUAUCAUGAGUUAGAAUUCAAAUAAAUAAAGAGUUCAUAUUGAUAAGUGGAAUUGAUGUGCAAGUAAGGGGUAUAAAAAAAUCUCAAAAUAACUCCAAAAAGCACAUGACAUGUUUGAUUUAAUAGAACUGGUACAUAAACAGGGGGACCAUUAUAUUUAUAAGCAAGUGACCAACAAUAGUUUACUACUGAUAUUUUGUGAUAUUUUUUGUGAUAUUUUUUGAGACCUUUAACAUUAUUCUGUGAAGUGGUAUACUACUGUUACUAGUUCUGAAACUUCAAACAAAGUAGGCGCAACAUUGUAAGAGUGAUUAAUAAAGUUGAGAAACAGUGUGUACAUUGAGCAGUAUGACAAUCAGGUUCAGCAUAUAAUACAAUCAGAUUCACAAUCAGGUUCACGAGAAACAUGCUGCAUUCCAAAAAGCCUUAUUAUCUUCUUCACUAAAUAACAAGGCAAAUACAGCAUAUAAAUACAAGUUAUAAGUACAAGUGUGGUAUUAGAUUCAUAACCCAGUUGAGGAGAAACAUGGCACACUUUGUAAGGCCUUCUCACCUUCUUCUCUUUGUUUUCUUUCUCUCAUCACUAGAAUCCAUUCUUGCAACAAGACGAGAGGGGGAAGCUCUUGUGAAGUGGAAGAAUAGCCUAGCCCCUUCUUCUUUUCUCCACUCUUGGUCACUCUCCAAUCUCGAAAAUCUUUGCAACUGGACUGGCAUUACUUGUAACUCUGCAGGUUCAGUCUCUGAGAUUGACCUUUGUGAGAAACAACUUGAUGGAAUGCUGUCCGAGUUUGGUCUCACUUCAUUUCCAAAUCUCAACAAUCUCACCCUCGCAGACAACUUCUUCUCAGGUCCAAUACCACCAGCCAUUGAGAAUUUAACACAGCUUCAAUAUCUUGAUUUAAGCAUGAAAAGUCUUAAUGGUCCCAUUCCGUUCCAGGUUAGCCAUCGUCAGAGCUUGCUCAUCUUAGACCUGUCACAGAAUGCAUUGCAAGCUUCAAAUUGGUCCAAUUUCUCUCCCAUGCCUCAGUUGCGCUUCCUCAAGCUCAGUAGCAAUCAUCUUGUGUCGAAAUUCCCAAAUUUUAUAUCCAGUUCUCAUAGCCUGACUUACCUCAACCUCUCAUAUAACAUUGGAAACCUCAAAAAAUAUAUAUUUAUAUAUUUAUAAUUAAAAAAUUGAAUUACUUAAUAUAUUAAAAAAUUGAAUAAAAUUUUAUAUAUUUUAUUAAAAAAUUGAAUAAAAAUUGAAUAAAAUUGAAUAAAAUUGAAGUACACGAAAAGGUACACGACACGAAAUACACGACUGAGAAGUCGUGUCGGUUUUGUGUUUACCCUUCGGGUACACGACACGAGGUACACGAAAUAAAUAAAUAAAUAUAUAUAUAUAUAUUUACCCUUCGGAUUAAGAGUUGGUCGCGGACAAAUUCAAAGUUUCCCAAUUAUCCUUUAUUUUAUGUAACUUUGCUUAUGUUUAAGCCUAAAUUUGGACAAUAUUUGUAAAAUAUUAAUAUUUCGUGUACUAAUUCGUUACCAGUUUCGUGUAUUUUUUCGUGUAUAUUUCGUGUUUUCGUGUUUUCAUGUACUAUUUCGUAUCGUGUCGUUUUCGUGUACAUGAAAAAAUUCGUGUACUACAGUUCGUGUCGUUUUUACCUGUUUCUAAAUCGUGUCGUGUUCGUGUUUACAAUCGUGUACACGAAUUGAAUUCGUGUCGUGUUCGUGUAUACCCACCAGAUACACGAAACACGAAAGUACACGACACGUUUAUACACGACACGAACGAUUUGCCAGGUCUANGAAACACGAAAGUACACGACACGUUUAUACAUGACACGAACGAUUUGCCAGGUCUAUUCAAACCUAGCAAGUAACCAAGAGGGGGCAAACUCCACCAGAGACAAAUCAAAGACCAUACCUGAGUAUUGCCAACAUAACAUUACAAACUGGCAGGUGAAAAAUAUGUGAAUAAGGUCUUCGUCACCAGAGUUACACAUGGGACAGUCAAGAGAAAGAUUUACUCCCUUAGAUUGUAAUCGACUUUUCACAGGCACAUUAUUCCUGCAAAAACGCCAUAAAAACACUUUGAUCUUAAGAGGAACCUCCAACUGCCAGAGUUUCUUCCACCCACUAGAUUGUGUAACAGUGCCAGUGCCAAUAUUUUGGGCAUGCCAAAACUGGUAACCUGUUUUCACAGAAUUUUGGCCGUUAGUAGUCUUUGACCAAGCUAGAUGAUCCACGGUCGACCUAUAGGGAACAGAAGUUUUUAAAAAUUAUGUAAUUCAUUCAAUUCCGUAUCAGACAAUACAUCUUAUCAUCGGUGAUAAUGGAAAUAGUGUAGAUGUUUGACCUAGUCCAUGUUUGACAACCAAUAUAAUAAGAAAUAAAUUCUUAUUUUUCUAAAAAAUAUAUUUUUGUAUAUAAAUGUUAAAGAGAUAUUUCUUAUUUGUUGUUUGAAAAAAGUAAAGACUUAUUUCAGAAUAAAUAAAAAUUAUUGUACAUUCUCUUUAUUUUUAAAAAUAAGUUUGGUCAAAUCGCCCAUAAUUCUCGUAAUUCAAAAGCCCAUUAUUUUUUUUUUUCUUGCUAAUUGAUCAGCACACGCACACGUUUCCAACUUCCCGCAAAGGGUACCGGAGUACCACCACACCGACGCUUUGUUGGGCCCAAUAAUUGGCUGAAGUUGAACGGGGCUUUCUGCCUCCGCUGGACCCCAGUUGGGAGGACUCUUUCCAAGUCUUUCGGAGACUCUUUCCCAUUGACUCCAACUUUCCAGGGUGUAUACAAAUUUUUUGAAAGAGGGUGUAUACAAAUUAUUCACGGCCAUCAAAUUAACCAGCGUAGCUGGUGAACAAAUAUUAUUGUUUAUUAUAAUUUUAUUUAAUUUAAAUGUGAUUAUAAAGAACAUAAGAGGACGUUUGAAAGUGUGGGUCUUAUUUCAAACAGUAGAUUUCAAAAAAUAUGAUUUCAAUUGUUAUUUAAAAUUCUUAAAUUUAUAUUAUAUUAAAAUGUUCUUAUCUAUACUAUACUAUUAAAACCGAAACAUUAAAAGUUUGGUCGGUCGGUACUUGGGCCGAUAUAUGGGCCUAUCUAUAUAACUAAUUAUUUUUUUUUAAUUUUGGGCCGAAAUACAGGCCUGUCUAUAUAAUCAAUUAUUCUUUUUAACUAAAAUAUGUUAUCUUUUUUACUAUUAAAGCCAAAACAUUAAAAAUUUGAUCGGUCGGUACUUGGGCCGAAAUAUGAGCGUAUCUAUAUAACUAAUUAUUUUUAUUUUUUUUUAUUUUUGGCCGAAAUACAGGCCUAUCUAUAAAAUCAAUUAUUCUUUUUAACUAAAAUAUGUUAAUUUUUUUUACUAUUAAAGCCGAAAUAUUGAAAGUUUGGUCGGUCGGUACUUGGGCUUCUAGGCCGAAAUAUAGGCCUAUCUAUAUCAUCAAUUAUUCUUUUAAACUAAAAUAUGUUAUCUUUUUUACUAUUAAAAUCGAAACAUUGAAAGUUUGAUCGGUCGGUACUUGAGUCGAAAUACGGGCCUAUCUAUAUAACUACUUAUUAUUUUUAACUUGGGCCGAAAUACAGGCCAAUCUAUGUAAUCAAUUACGCGGUAUUCUUUUUAACUAAAAUAUGUUAUUUUUUUAACUAUUAAAGUUGAAAUAUUGAAAGUUUAGUCGCUCGAUACUUGAGCCGAAAUACGGAUCUAUCUAAAUAACUAAUUAAUUUUUUUUAACUUUGGAUGGAAAUACAGCCCUAUCUAUAUAAACAAAUAUCUUUUUAACUAAAAUAUGUUAUCUUCUUUAUACUUUCUAACUAAAAACUCAAUCUUCUAAAUGAACAUGGAAGAAUAUAGUAAUUAUCUUUUUAACUAAAACAAAUUAUCGUCUAUUAAAUCAAAUUAUAACAAACUAUCCAUAAACAUCCUUAAUUUAUAACAAAUUAUUAAAUAUUUUUUAUCAUCUACUAAAUCAAAACAUUAAAAAUUAGAUUACCAUUAUGGAUCAGUAUUUGAAUUACGCUUCUCUUUAACUUAUAAUAUGUUUUAUACUAUAUUAUUAACUAUUAAUAACUAAAUAUUAAAACGCUGAUUGGGUUGUUUCUAUCUGGGUUUACGGGUCUCCUCAAAUUAUAAUCCCUCCGUUCUUAAAUAUCUGCCUUUUGACUUUUUGGCACGCAUGUUAAAGUGUUUUGAAUUUAUAGUAAAAAUAUUAUUUUUAAAUUUCUUUUUCUGAAUAAAAAUUUUAUAUCAAUACUUUUAUUCAUAAAAAGAAAUAUUUGAAAAUAACAUUUCUAGCUAUGUGGUCAAAAUAUCUUAAAAUGUGUGCGAAAAAGUCAAAAGGCAUAUAUUCAAGAACGGAGGGAGUAACAUGUAAAAAAAAUUAUUUUAACAUUAUCAUUAAAAAAUUAUAUAUUUGACCUAAUUAUAAAUUAACUAUUUGAAGGAAUAAACUAUUAAGAAUUUAUUUAGCUGCUAAAUAAAAGUUUUUUUAAUAACAUUAUUCUAUCACAAUUUUACUUUCAAUAAAAUUCGUUAAAUCUAAAAUAUAUGCGAUGAAAUAACAAAUAUUAAAACCGCCCGUGCAUUGCACGGGUUUUAAGCUAGUUCUAAUUAAUGAGUCACUAUUCGUAUUCUCAAGCAUGUUAGUUUGUUAAAAUUUAAAAUUUCAAAUGAAAUUAGGCUAAAAGACCAUAAUAUCAAAUCAAAAUCUCAUUAUCCAAUAUAUUGGUGGGCAAAAAUAUUAAACCUGGCUAUUCAUUAAUAUUGGUUCUUUAUUCAAAUUAUGUCAAAUUUAUAUAAAAUUUCGAAAAUUAUUUAUGAAUAAGAGUCGGCAUUCAUAUAUUUAUUAAGGAUACAAGUGAGAAAAUGUUAUUAAAUUAAUAUUUUUUAAUAUACGUAAGUUUUUUAAAAUAAAUUUGUAGCGUGGGACGGGAGUAUUAGACUGAUUCUGGCUUGGAGUGAAUCAGCCCAUAAAGUUUACAGGGUAGAUGACCAUUCUUAAAUCUUAAAGAAUCUUACGGUGACAGCUAACUGAACGACUCGGUUUCAGAAGUGCUGAAAAGUUUCGACGUAAACUACAAUUUGCCUAGCAUGUAAUUUCCAUGCAUUUUCUCGUUACGAGUAGGUUUGUCCGGAAGUACAAUUCAAAAUAGAGUGCUGUUAAAAAAAAUUGAGUUACUUAUUCAAUAACUUUUUUGAUAUUUAUAUAUUUUUAAUUAUAAUAAAGAUACUAGUGAUUAUGGUUAGCUUUUGGAGUACUUUUGGAGUACUUGGAAAUUUUCUUUUCGAGAAAAACGAGAGUACCUAUUUCAAUUUUUUACCAAAAAUUAUAAUUGAAAACAACGGACUUUUAUACUUAUCAUAACAAUUUUUAACAUCUUGUUUAGAAAUAACCUGUUGUUGUAUUAUGCAAAAGUAAUAUCACUAGUUUCUAUAUCCGUAUUCUAAUGAUAAUAAAAACAUCUCUAAUUCAUUAAAACUCUUACAUAGAAAUUGAUAAAAAAAGAAGAUAUAAAAUAAUUUAUUAAAAAUAUAUCAAAGUUUUUGCACUCGGUUAUAAUUAUUGUGUAAUUUUUUUUUUCAAUUCCAAGAUAUUGUUAUAAGAAAAUUUUACAUCAUAUAUAUAUUACAAAAAAAAUUAAUGUAUUAUAUAUAUAUAGGGUCCUACUCUGGUACAAACCUUUUUAGCGUACAAACUACAAACCAAAAUUAAAAAGUCUCUAAAUCAAAUCAGAAUAUAGCACAUAUGGUAUGGAAAUUGAUCGUUGCGAGAUGAACAAAAAUAAUGAUUAUAAAGUUUGUAUUUGAGCCAUUAUAUAUAUACUUACAAUAAAAGUAAUAAUAUAUUAUAUUCUAAAUAUAGUUAACCACUGCAGUUGGUCGCUUAUAAAUAGAAGUGUGCAUUAUAGGAUGAAACGUACAUCAAGCUGAGGAGAAACAUGGUACACUCUGCAAAGCUAUAUCAUCUUCUUUUACUUGUUUUCUUUUCCUCCUUACUUCCAUCCAUUCUAUUGGCAACAAGACGAGAAGGAGAAGCUCUUGUGAAAUGGAAGAAUAGCCUAGCCCCGUCUUCUUUUCUUGAUUCUUGGUCACUCUCCGAUCUCGAUAAUCUUUGCAACUGGACUGGCAUUACUUGUAACUCUGCAAGUUCAGUGUCUCAGAUAAAUCUUUCCCAAAAACAGCUCGAUGGAACGCUGUCCGAAUUUGGUUUCACUUCAUUUCCGAAUCUCGAAAAUUUGACUAUAAGAGACAACAGCUUCUCCGGGCUAAUACCACCAGGCAUUGCGAAUUUAACACAGCUUCAAUACCUUGAUUUAAGCUACAAUUAUUUCAGUGGUUCCAUUCCGUACGAGGUUAGCCAUCUUCAGAGAUUACGUGUUUUAGACUUGUCGUAUAAUGAAAUGCAGGCUCCAAAGUGGUCUGACUUCUCUCCCAUGCCUUUUAUGAGCAUCCUCAACCUACGGGCCAAUCAUCUUGUGUCGAAAUUCCCAGAAUUUAUAUCCAAUUCUUUUAGCCUGACUUUCCUUGACCUUGGAGACAACAAGUUCACCGCUGAUCAUCUUGUGCUCGAAUCAGAAUUUACCAAUUUGCAAAAUCUUGAAACGCUGUUUCUUGAUGGUAAUUCUUUUGAGGGGACGUUUCCACCGAAUAUAUUCAGGCUUUCUAAAUUAAAAUACCUUUCCCUAUCUGCUAAUAAGUUUUCAGGUUCUGUGCCGGAUGACAUAGGGAUGCUUCGUGAUCUUGAAUCCCUUUAUCUUGGUAACAAUUCUUUCAAAGGGAUGCUUCCACAAAAUAUUUUCAGACUUCCCAAAUUACGGGAUCUUUCCCUCUGGGGUAACAAUUUUUCAGGUCUUAUUUCAGAUGAUAUAAGGAUGCUUUCUAACCUGGAAUCUCUUGAUCUUAAUGGUAAUUCUUUUCAGGGUCCGCUUCCACCAAAUUUCUUCAAGCUUUCCAAAUUAAGACAUCUCGCCCUCUCAAAUAAUAAAAGAGUAUUUAAAGGAAGUAUUCCUCUUGGGUUGGGGCUUUUGACUAACCUUGACUACUUAUGUCUUAAUUCCAAUUAUCUCACUGGCUACAUUCCAUCUGACAUUGGAAAUCUAAAGCUACUAGAACAUCUUGAUCUCAGUUUUAAUCAAUUGACCGGACCGCUCCCAAAGAUCAUUUCUAACCUCACUAAUCUAACGCGUCUUGGUCUGAAUGAUAAUUGGUUUUCCGGCAGUAUUCCAAGUGACUUCUUGGAAAACUCUACAUUAUUAUUUUACAUUGAUCUUUCAAACAAUGAUCUGUCUGGAAGCAUUCCUAAGGAAUUCAACGUUCAUCCGACAUUGGAUUAUAUCAAUUUAAGUGGAAACCGUUUUAGAGGUCUACUUCUCUCUUUAAAUUUUUAUGUUCGUUUUGUAUAUGCUAGUAACCUGAUUAUUACACUUUUACUGAAGCUUCAACAAUUCUAACUGCAGGCAAGCUUCCAGCAACGAUUUGCAAUGCUACAUCCCUUUCGACUCUUGUUCUGUCAAAUAAUGAAUUCAGCAAUGCACUUCCACAUUGUUUGGGGAAUCUUGCUGAUCAACUUCUUUCCAUUAAUCUUGCUAAUAAUUUGUUUCGAGGACCAAUACCAACAACUUUCUCUAAGAGUUGUCGGCUGACAUAUCUAAACAUGUACAACAAUCACUUUGAAGGGUUGUUGCCGCAAUCUCUGGCAAACUGUAAGCACCUACAAAUUCUUGAUAUUGGAAACAAUGAAAUAGGUGGUAAAUUCCCGUCAUGGCUGUUUACUCUUGGAGAGCUGGAAGUCCUAGUCUUGCGAUCAAAUAGAUUCCACGGUCCAGUCAAUGGAACAAGCUCAGCAAAUUUAUUCCCCAAGUUGCGGAUUGUUGAUCUCUCCAACAAUCAAUUUACAGGCGAUUUACCAAUUCAGUAUUUUAAGAAUAUGAAACCAACAGAUAACCACUAUAGUUAUUUUUAUACAGAAAGUGGUUUUUACUAUCAUCAAGCAUCGAUCUCAUUAACUGUGAAAGGAAGAGAGUAUGAAGUGAAAAAGAUCCUUCAUAUUUAUACAGCCAUAGAUGUGUCAUGCAACAAAUUUCAGGGAGAAAUUCCCGAGGUUAUUGGAGAACUUAAAUGGCUUGCAUUGCUCAAUCUAUCACAUAAUAGUCUUAUUGGACCUAUCCCAUCACAGCUCGGAAAUAUGGAAUCACUUUUAUCUCUAGAUUUGUCUUCAAAUCAUUUGACAGGGGGUAUUCCCGAUCAGUUGAUUAGGUUGACAUUUCUAGAGGUCUUGAACCUCUCGGAAAAUCAUCUGACAGGGCCUAUCCCCCAAAAAGGACAGUUCAGCACAUUCAACAAGGAUUCUUACCUAGGUAACUUUGCCUUGUGUGGAUUACCUUUAACUAAUAACUGUACACACACUGUGUCACCACCACAAGAAGGCGGAACUGGUGACAAUGAUGCCUAUGAUGAACCCGAUUGGGAAGUGAUCCUCAUGGGAUAUGGAUGUGGACUAAUAUGCGGAUUGUCCACAGGGUACGUUGUCUUCACAUUCAGAAAGCCUCAGUGGUUUAUGAGAUACACUGAAAGCGUGCAACAGAAGUUGAUGAGAUGAUGCAUGUUGAGUACCGUUCAAUCAUGAAGCACAACUGGAAACAAUGUUAUCUUAGGAAAACAUGUGUUCUGAACCAGUAGUGUUUGCACAAAAUUUGUGGUGCUAUGUAAUACUUAUAUAAUUGUACGUAUGAUUAUUGAUUAGUCGUUGAGAAAAUGCAUUUUAUUUCAGUGUCAAUGAUAAUCUACAUGUUUUGGAUACUUCCAGCUUCUCAUACUAAUAUAGGAACCACUUGAAAAAUUUUGGACAGGCUCUGAGGAUGCUAAUGCUGCUGUUUAGUUUCUACCGCGGAAUUGACUUUAGCAUAUACUCGUAUGACAUAUUACUAGAUAUAUGGUUGUUAAAUAAAAUUAUCUUUUUGUGGAAUAAAUAGGAAAGCAAAAUCAUAGAAUAAUGUAUGUUAUAUAGGAAGGUAUUGUCCUCUUAGAUAGGUAUCAUUUAUGCCUCAUUGGCAUGUCUCAGAAAACUUUUGGGUUAACACAAUGUUUACUUAGAGCAUUGCCAUUCCUUAAAUAUAAUAUAAAAUAUUGGAUCUUAGUGACUUAAGAUGAUAAUAGCUAUUCGCACCUCCAACAAUAUUCCUUAUAUUCAUUCCUUAUAUACUAUUUUAUUAUUAAAAGUUACCAUUAUUGCAAUAGGUGAAAAGAGAGAACAUGUUUGUAUUCAAAAUUUAUUGUAAAAUAAUAUUUAGGAGAGGAGAGAGGUUACCUAAAGAUAAGGCAUGGCUAGUUAUUUAGAGAAUCACUAGGAUACUGUUGGAGUGGAUUAUUUUCCCAUAUUACUCAUAUUUUGGUUUAAGAUUCCUAAUAGGGAAGCUGCUGGAGUUGCUCUUAGAGCAUCUCCAAGAGAUUCUUCAUUUAAGCUCCUAACUUGAGAUUUGAGUAGGGAGAGGAAAAAUGUUGCUCCAAGAGACUCUUAAGUGGCUCUUAAAUCACUAAGAGCCUCUUGUUUCUCUCUCCUCUCUCCUCAAAGUUAAGAGCCACCACAUUGCUCCUAACUUAUUUUUUCACAAUAAAAAAAUCUUUUCCUCCAAUUCAGCUCCAUCUUUCCAUCUCUUUUGUUAUAGUGGAGCCCAAUAUAUGAAUAAAAUAUGAAAUAGAGAAGAGAUGUAGAGAGUAUUGUUGGAGUUUACACUCUUAACUUUGUCUUAAAUUGCUAAGAGCUAUUUUUUUAUAUUAUAUUUAGGAGCCAAUAAGGAGGCUCUUGGAGAUGCUUUUAGUACUAAUUGUUAGAAUAUGAAAAUGCAGUUAUGAACUAUUAUGCUAGAGAGAGAAAAAUUCAACAAACUUCAUUUCUGUAAACUACAACUAUUAGUCUGUUACAUUGCUGAAAGCUACAUUUAUACAUUUACAGUUUACAACAAACUAUGAAACUGAUUUUCCCGCGUCCUCCUCACUUGUCCACGUGGCCUGACUGGCUUGGUGUCCUUGACACUCUUUAUUAUUGCUAAUAUAUACUUAACACUAAUACCUCAAAGCAGGGUAUAAAUUCAAUAGCACAGCUUCUGGAUAAUGGAAAUUUAGUUAUCCAGAGGUCUUGGUUUUACAUAUCACUUGUAUAUUAUGUCUCGGUCUCAUUGAAGCAUACCAAACGAGAUUUUGGGUUUGUUAAUAUUUUUUUAGUCCAAAUUUGAAUAAUACUGUUAUGCUUAUUCACACGGUAGACGUGUUUUUAUUAAAAUACUGCAACUGAAAUUGAUGAAAACAUGCACAAAGCAUAGCAGACGAAAGACUUGAGGAGAUAUUGUCUUAGGCGAUGCAAUACGUUCUAAUAUAAUGCUAUAUUAUGCAAUCUCGUUUAAUACUUUCAUCAUUAUUCUCCAAGAUGUCUGAACAUGUAUUUUCAAAGAAUUCUCAGUUCACCUUUAGUCUUAUAGCGACAUUUUGAAGGCACUCUCAACUUACACCCUAUAUAUACACGUACGGUUCACUUCAGUACAAAGAUUUUAUGAUACAACUCUCAUAUUAUGAACUAGUUCUGUCGAAUACAUGAAUAUUGAUCAAUCAUUUGAACUCGAGUUUCCCAGCUGGCCAGAUACCCAGAUUAUUAGCCAUGCAAAACAUGCAGAACCACUAGUAAUGCAGAAAAACAAUAUAUUAGUUUUCUCCGGUGUUACAGAAAUCAGGAAUCGGACCUAAUCGGUUUAGCUACCGAUUUAGGGAUUAAUAGGAAAUAGGGGAUUAAUCGGAGUGAAAAUCGGAUUUAUUUUAAUAUUAAAAUAUUAUUUAAUAUUUAGUUAUUAUUAUAUUAGCUAUUUAGUAACUAAUAUAUUUACUAUAUUCAUAAACUCUAUAAUUAUUCGUAUUGAAAGUAAUAUAGUAUUUUAAUUUUAAUAAUUUACUAUAUAUACUUCGAUUAAGAAAUAUAUAUAUAAGGAUUAAUCGGAUUUCAAAAAUCGAAUCGGUGGCCAACCUUGCAGAGGAUUAAUCGGGGAUUAAUUGGUUGAAUCGGGGAUGUUUAGAACACUGGUUUUCUCCAAAUAUCACUACAACAAAACUGCCAUUUUACGACGGAAAUCUAAUAUUCUAAAGGGUUACGACCAAACUAUGUCGGUGGACUUUAUUUUAAUUUACCGUUUAACAGUAGUUAAUUUUGGAUAUCUACACUUGCGAUGGAAAACAUACGACAGUCUACUUCGUGAGAGAAAAUCAUUUUAUUUUAUUUUUUAGCGCCAGAAUUUUAAUACUGAAAUAUUAUAUAUAUGAAGGAAACUGAUCUCUAAUGUUUUCAGCUUGCUCAUCCAUCGUAAGUAAUCCGUCGAAAAAGUUAGUUUGUUGUGGUGGUGUCUUAUCAUGAGAGAAAAUGAUAAUAUCGCAAAAUAUUUGCAACUGAAAGAUAAAUUAUAAUUCUAGAAACCAUUUAGGUAACGAUGCACGAAGUUAUUUUCACUCACUUAGAAUUAAUGNUGAAAACAUGCACAAAGCAUAGCAGACGAAAGACUUGAGGAGAUAUUGUCUUAGGCGAUGCAAUACGUUCUAAUAUAAUGCUAUAUUAUGCAAUCUCGUUUAAUACUUUCAUCAUUAUUCUCCAAGAUGUCUGAACAUGUAUUUUCAAAGAAUUCUCAGUUCACCUUUAGUCUUAUAGCGACAUUUUGAAGGCACUCUCAACUUACACCCUAUAUAUACACGUACGGUUCACUUCAGUACAAAGAUUUUAUGAUACAACUCUCAUAUUAUGAACUAGUUCUGUCGAAUACAUGAAUAUUGAUCAAUCAUUUGAACUCGAGUUUCCCAGCUGGCCAGAUACCCAGAUUAUUAGCCAUGCAAAACAUGCAGAACCACUAGUAAUGCAGAAAAACAAUAUAUUAGUUUUCUCCGGUGUUACAGAAAUCAGGAAUCGGACCUAAUCGGUUUAGCUACCGAUUUAGGGAUUAAUAGGAAAUAGGGGAUUAAUCGGAGUGAAAAUCGGAUUUAUUUUAAUAUUAAAAUAUUAUUUAAUAUUUAGUUAUUAUUAUAUUAGCUAUUUAGUAACUAAUAUAUUUACUAUAUUCAUAAACUCUAUAAUUAUUCGUAUUGAAAGUAAUAUAGUAUUUUAAUUUUAAUAAUUUACUAUAUAUACUUCGAUUAAGAAAUAUAUAUAUAAGGAUUAAUCGGAUUUCAAAAAUCGAAUCGGUGGCCAACCUUGCAGAGGAUUAAUCGGGGAUUAAUUGGUUGAAUCGGGGAUGUUUAGAACACUGGUUUUCUCCAAAUAUCACUACAACAAAACUGCCAUUUUACGACGGAAAUCUAAUAUUCUAAAGGGUUACGACCAAACUAUGUCGGUGGACUUUAUUUUAAUUUACCGUUUAACAGUAGUUAAUUUUGGAUAUCUACACUUGCGAUGGAAAACAUACGACAGUCUACUUCGUGAGAGAAAAUCAUUUUAUUUUAUUUUUUAGCGCCAGAAUUUUAAUACUGAAAUAUUAUAUAUAUGAAGGAAACUGAUCUCUAAUGUUUUCAGUUUGCUCAUCCAUCGUAAGUAAUCCGUCGAAAAAGUUAGUUUGUUGUGGUGGUGUCUUAUCAUGAGAGAAAAUGAUAAUAUCGCAAAAUAUUUGCAACUGAAAGAUAAAUUAUAAUUCUAGAAACCAUUUUGGUAACGAUGCACGAAGUUAUUUUCACUCACUUAGAAUUAAUGCUAAAUAUUUGCAACUGAAAGAUAAAUUAUAAUUCUAGAAACCAUUUAGGUAACGAUGAGCGGAGUUAUUUUCACUCACUUAGAAUUAAUGAUAAAUAUUUGCAACUGAAAGAUACAUCAUAGUUCUAGAAAAGGAUCCACGAAGUUAUUUUCACUCACUUAGAAUUAAUUGUAAGUUAUUGUGAGUUUUUGAAUAUGAAUUAUCUCAAAUUUUAUUAAAACACAUGUUGAUUCUUAUAUACAAAUUUGCCUAUCUAAUAUUAUAAUAUUUAUGGAGAAGGUGUAUGAACAAUUGUGUAGAUAAUUAUACUUUACAAAGCAUACUUCUGCUAGCUGAAUUUUGAUUAAAAAAAUCGAAAGGGAUAGGUCUGGGUCUCUCCAAGUCUUUGAGGACUCAUUCCAAGUCUUCUGAUGAGGACAAAAUAUAUUGCUGGAAGUCUUUCAGUCCUUCCUAGAGUAUUUUGUGCUCUGCACUGCAUUAUGCAGCUCUCAUAUAACUGACCGCUAACCUCCUUCCAACACUUUGCGAUGCAAAACAGUGGCAUGUUAUAAGUAUUUCCGUAUGUGUAUUUAUUUGGAUAUUAAAGUUGCGUAACAUUUGUGUUGAUAAUUUGCGCAAUGUUGAUGAGGAUUGCUCCCAAGUCUUGGCGGACUCUUUCCAAAUCUUCUGAGGACCUAUGGGUUCAAAUUAGUCCAUUAAAAUGAAUACCAUUGUUUUGUGAUUAAGUUGUAUGGUUAAGAGCUUAUCCUCUGUCGUCCCAGGUCCUGGGUUCGACCCUGGCUCACCCCGAGAGUUUCGUAGAACAGAUACUCAUUAUAAGGCUAUAAGCCAUAUUUGUCAAAAAAAAAGUUGUAUAGGCAAUAUGCAUUGCAAAAUCAGCAACAGAAUAUAUACUAAUUAAUUACCUGAUAUCGGUUUGAACAAAUACUUUCUAUGUAGUUGUAAUAUUAGUCUUCUUUAAAAGUUAUCAUGAGGGAAGAUAUAUAUUGUGAUGCGGGGGAAAUAUUGUAACCGAAAAUAAUUAUAAUUCUAAAAAUUUCCAUUAUACACUUUUUUUAGUGUUCGUACGUGGUAAGUACUUCAGACGACAUUUCUCGCGUAUGCCUCCAAUUAAGAAUUUGAUGUUCAGCCUAGUCCUAAACUAAAAUUAUUAUAAAUGUGUAAUUCAAAAUUAUAUUGCUGGUAGGCUCUGAGAUUAACCUUAAACAAAAACAACUCAGUGGAACGCUUUCCGAGUUUGGUUUCACUUCAUUUCCAAAUCUCAACAAUCUCAACAUAGCACGAAACAACUUUUACGGUCCAAUACCACCAGCCAUUAAGAAUUCUAUUUUAAUAUGUAACAUUCUAUUUUCUAAAAUAAUAAAUAUUUUUUUUAAUAGUUGGUCAAAAAUUAGUCAAUUUGACUUCUCAAAAAGCAGAAAGGACAUGUAAAUUGAGACGGGGGAGUAUUUAACGGAAUUCAACGAAAGGUGUGCGUAUCGUUCUUGAAAUGUAAAAAUAGGUGGUGCAAUUCGAGUUUCCAAACCUAUGGGUACAAUAUCGUUUUUAAACGUAAGCUAGGGGGUCCAAAUUACAAUUACAUGUAUAUAUAGUGACUUAACGGAGUGCAUAUAGUUAACGGAAGUUAACGGCAGGGAGUGCAUCUCGGGCUUGAAUAGUAAAGAUAAAAGGUGCGAGUUGAGUUUCUCAAAGUAUGAGUACAAUAUCGUUUUUGAAUGAUAGUUAAGGGGUGCGAUAUGCAAUUACCUCAAAAAAAUAUGAUCAUUAGUAUAUUAUAUUAGUAUCCACACACUUAUAUCUCAAAAUCUAUCCUCCAAAAUUAUCAUCUAUAUAGGCUAGCCACAUAAAAUAAAAAUUUAAAGAUAUUAGAUAUUUAGUUAUUUCAAUUAUAUAAUUUUUCCACGCAAAAUAACAAAAUAUCUUUAUCAACUUAUUAUUUAUGAGUUAAAUAUUCAACUUAUAUAAUUCGGGCAUGCUGGGUAUAAAUAGAAGUGUAACGCCUAAUUUCCGGGGUCUGGGAGUAGUUAGCGGGGUAUGAGAGAGCAGGCUAUUUAGAAGUCUUGGUCAUGAAAACUUCCAAGCUAACUUCGACAACGGAAUCUUCUGAGGCUACUAUUCUAAAGCACGCAUAAUCAUUGUAUUCAUUUUCCUCUAACACUGGCAAAAAGUCUAUUUAAGCAAAUGAAAUACAAACAACUGAGUGGAAUGCUGACCGAAAGUCUUUUUGGCUGAGCUUAUGAUUUAUUAGUACAUGAUUAAUAUGAUAAGCUAAGCUGAGAGCAUAAGAUAUCGUGUGUAUAAUUUUGUGUUUAUUAAUGACUUAUAAAUUAUUAAAAAUAUAAUAAGAAAAAUAAAAAUGAUUUAUAACUAAUUUAUGUUUUAUGAGUAAUUUUUAUUAGAAAAAAGUUUUAAAAAAUUAUUUCACUGAAAAAAAAUCCUCCAACUAACUUUUGGCUCUAAGUCAGUUUUUGAUUUAUUUAUGAUUUUAAGUCGGAUUCUGAUUUUUACACAAACAGAAAAUUUCCAGCUUAAAGUUAAAAACAACUUUAAGCUCCGGUUUUAAACCUCUGAGUUUGGUUUCACUUCAUUUACAAAUCUCAACAAUUUCACCAUCAAACACAAUGACUUCUCCAAUCUCCGGUCCAGUUCACCAGCCAUUGAGAAUUUGGCACAACUUCAAUUCCAUACCAGGUUAGUCGGCUUCGGAGGUUACACGCCUUAGACCUGUCAAAUACAAAUUUCAAUCUCCAAACUGGUCCGAUUUAUCUUCUAUGCAUUUUGUUGAGUCCGGCUCAUCUAAAACCUGAAGGUGUUAGAAGAAACCCGAAUGAAUCUUAUAUAUGAAUCUUAUAUAUGCUAUAUUUAAACAAUUCUGAGCACACUCAACCUUGGUAUUAAUAAUAUCGUGUCGAUAAUUCCAGAAUUUAUAUCUAAUUCUCAUAGCCUAACUUUCCUUGACCUUUCCAUAUAACAAAUUUACAGUUAAUCCUGUGCUUGAAUCAGUAUUUGCAACCAAAAUUAUGCAAUUAUAGUGCAGGUAGUCUUCCAGUUCUUCCUACUCUAUGCUAUAAUUUCAUUUGAUACCAAUAAUUUUACGCUCUACACUCCAGGAUGAGCUCGCAUAUUAUUGACAGCAAUAAUCCUUCCAACACUUUGUGAUGCAAAGCAGGGGGGCGCCUGUAUUUUCAUAUGUCUAUAUUAUUGGAGAUUAAAGUUGUGUGGACAAUUGUGUUGAUAAUUUGCCCAAUGUUAACAGGGAUAGGUUGGCUUAAAAAUAUAUAAGGUCACUUGUGCAUCGCUGUUCACACACUUAGACCCUGUUUGUGUAAGCUUUAAGUCCGGGCUCAAGCAAUUUCGACUUAAUCACUUCCGAGGACCAAUACCAACAGCCUUCUCAAAGAGUUGCCAGCUAAGAUAUCUAAACAUGUAUGACAAUCAGUUAGAAGGACUAUUGCCCCGAUCUUUGUCAAACUGUAAGCACUUAAAAAUUCUUGACAUCGGGAACAAUAAAAUGGGUGGUACAUUCCCUUCAUGGCUAUUUAAUCUCGGAGAGCUAGAAAUCCUAGUCUUGCGAUCAAAUAGACUGUACGGUCCUGUAAGUGGAAGGAGCACAUCACAUCCAUUCCCCAAGUUGCGGAUUCUAGAUCUCUCCAACAAACAAUUCGCGGGCUAUUUGCCAAUUCUAAACUUUAAGAAUAUGAAACCAGCUGCUGAUGAUAACGCGUAUAGUUAUAAAAAUAAGUCACAAGGACUAAUUAAUUACAUCUAUGAAGCAUCUAUCUCCUUAAAUGUGAAAGGAACAGAGUAUGAAGUGAAGAACAUUCUUCAUAUUUACACAGCCAUUGAUCUAUCGUGCAACAAAUUUCACGGAGAAGUUCCAAAGAGAGCUUAAAUGGCUUGCAUUGCUCAAUCUAUCUCAUAAUAGUCUUGCCGGACAUAUGUUCUGAAUUAUUAUUAUGCUUUCAUCAAUAUUUUCAAACAUUUCUCAAUAUGUAUUUCAAAGAAUUCUCAAGCCCUGGAACAUUUGGACCGGUCCUUUCGAAGCCAAGAUGCCCAGGUUAUCAUGGCCAUGCACAAAAAUGAAUAAAUUAUUCCAAGUCUUCCAUGACUCAUUCCAAGUCUUCGGAGGAGACCCUGAGCACAAAGAUGCUCAGGGUCUCCCCAAGCCUUCCAGGACUCAUUCCAAGUCUUCGGAGCACGGCCUCGACUCGCCCUUUCAAAGAUGUGAUAGUAGCUCGAGAGUGAUAUAAAUUAUUUUCCGGACACUAAAAAUAAAUAAUCAGAUCAAAUUAAUCAAUAAUAAAUUAAGGAUGAAAUCCAAAUUAAUCCUAAAUUUUGAUAAUAUAUAAAAAUUAUAAUUAUAAAUUAUAUAACCAAAUCAGAAUUGAAUUAACUUCCUUGGCACUAAAUUGAUAAGGAAAGUAUAAUAAUUUAAAUUUAAUUGAUGAAAAGUCAAAGUCUUCUAAUAAAUCCAUAAAGAAUAUGAUAAUCAAAAUAACGAAAAUUAUAAUUGAAAAAUCAAAAUCAUUAGUGUAUUGGAAUAGUGUUCACACACUUAUAUAUCAAAAUUUGUGGUCCAAAAACUAUAGCACAAUAUCCUAAAUACACCACAUUAAAUAUUAGUUCAAAAAUAUUCUGUAAAUAAUUGUUUUCAUUCAUCAUUUUGUUAUUUAAAAAACUAAUAAUUUGGGUUGAUGUUAACCUAUAUUUUAAUAUAUAAUUAUAUUAUUUUCGUAUUAUUUUAUUUAACUAGAAACAAUAUUUUUAUCAGACAUCAAUUAUAUUAAAAGAUAUAAUUUUAUUAAAAAAAAUUGAAUUAAAUUAAUAGGAUAACUCUACGCCUCACCAAGUCUACAAGACUCAUUUCAAGUCUACCAAGGACCACUACCUCGGUCCUCAACCAUUGGGAGAUGUGAAAGUAGCUUGAGAGUGACAAAAAUUAUUUUCCUCACAAUAAAAUUUAAUAUCUGAUAUAAAUUAAUUAAAUUAGUUAAUAAUAAAUUAAAACUAAUCAUGAAUUAUGAUAAUAAUUAAAUAAAUUAUAAUUAAAUUAUAUAAAUCAACUCCAAAUGAUACAAAUGACACUAAACCUUAGUUACUUUAUUGGUAAAUAAAUAUAAUAUAAUAAUCAAAUUGAUGAAAAAUCAAAAUCAUCUAAUAAAUUCAUAAAAAAUAUAUGAUCAUUAAUAUAUAUUAUAUUAGUAUCCACACACUUAUAUUUCAAAAUCUAUCCUCCAAACUUAUCAUCUCUGUAAACUAGCCACAUAAAAUAAAAAUUUAAAGAUAUUAGAUAUUUAGUUAUUUUCAUUAUAUAAUUUUUCCACACUAAACAACAAAAUAUCUUUAUCAAAUUAGUAUUUAUGAGUUAAAUAUUCAAGUUAUAAAUCCAGCAUGCAGCGUAUAAAUAGGAGAAACAUGGCACACUCUGCAAAGCCUUCUCACCUUCUUCUCUUUGUUUUCUUUCUCUCAUCACUUGAAUCCAUUCUUGCAACAACACGAGAAGGAGAAGCUCUUGUGAAAUGGAAGAAUAGCCUAGCCCCGUCUUCUUUUCUUGAUUCUUGGUCACUCACUCAUCUCGAUAAUCUUUGUAACUGGACUGGCAUUACUUGUAACUCUGCAGGUUCAGUCUCUGAGAUUUACCUUUAUGAGAAACAACUUGAUGGAAUGUUGUCGGAGUUUGGUUUCACUUCAUUUCCAAAUCUCAACAAUCUCACCCUCGCAUACAACUUCUUCUCCGGUCCAAUACCACCAGCCAUUGAGAAUUUAACACAGCUUCAAUAUCUUGAUUUGAGAAAUAAUUAUCUAGAUGGUCCCAUUCCUUUCCAGGUUAGCCAUCUUCAGAGCUUGCUCAUCUUAAACCUGUCAGAGAAUGCAUUGCAAGCUCCAAAUUGGUCCCAUUUCUCUCCCAUGCCUUUUUUGCGCAUCCUCAACCUCAGUCACAAUCCUCUUGCGUCGAAAUUCCCAGAUUUUAUAUCCAAUUCUCAUAGCCUGACUCACCUUAGCCUUAAUUAUAACGAGUUUACUGGUGAUUUAGCACGUGAAUCAAUAUUUGCCAAUCUGCAUAAUCUUGAAGUCCUCAGUCUUAAUGGCAAUUCUUUUGAGGGGCCAUUUCCACCAGAUAUAUUCAAGCUUUCAAGAUUAAAACGUCUCUUCCUGGCAGUUAACAAAUUUUCAGGUUCAAUUCCCAAUGACAUAAGGUUACUUUGUGAUCUUGAAUACCUAUAUUUAGGCAACAAUUCUUUUGAAGGACCGCUUCCACCAAAUUUAUUCAAGCUUUCGAAAUUAAAGCGUCUUUUUCUUUGGAGUAAUAAGUUUACAGGUUCUAUUUCCAAUGAUAUAGGUUUGCUUUCUGAACUUGAAACCCUCAAUCUUCAAUUUAAUUUUUUUGAGGGGCCGCUUCCCCCACAUAUAUUUAGGCUCUCUAAGUUAACAGGUCUAGAACUCGGAGACAAUAGAAAUUUAUUUGAAGGAAGUAAUAUUCCUAUCGGACUGGGACUCUUGACUAACCUCAGGUACUUAGAUUUACAUUUCAGUAAUCUCAGUGGCUAUAUUCCAUCUGACAUUGGAAACCUGAAGCUACUAGUACUUCUUAGUCUCGGUUCUAAUCAAUUGACUGGACCGCUUUCAAAGAUCGUUUCUAAUCUCACAAAUCUUAUAUUCCUUGAUGUAAGUGAUAAUAGUCUUAGUGGAAAUAUUCAGAGUGACUUGUGGAAAUAUAACCAUCAUCCUACUUUGGAAUACAUCGAUUUUAGUGGGAACCAUUUUACAGGUAUAUUUUUUCUCUAUAGAUCUUUUCCUUUUGUCAUAUGUAACUAAGCUAGUAAUCUGAUUAUUGCAGUUUUACCGAAGUUUCAACAAUCUUGACAGGUGAGCUUCCAACAACAAUUUGCAAUGUCACUUCCCUUUCGGUUCUUGAUUUGUCAAAUAAUGAAUUAAGUGGUGCACUUCCAAACUGUUUCGGGAAUCUUGCUGAUGGAUUGCUUUACAUUAAUCUUGCUAAUAAUCAGUUUCGAGGAACAAUACCAACUACUUUCUCCAGGAGUUGUCAGCUGACAUAUCUAAACAUGGAUAAUAAUGAGUUUGAAGGAUUGUUGCCCCCAUCUUUGGCGAACUGUAAGCACUUGAAAAUUCUUGAUAUAGGCAAUAAUAAAAUAGGUGGUACAUUUCCGUCAUGGCUUUAUGCACUUGGAGAGCUAGAAGUUCUUGUCUUGCGAUCAAAUAAACUCUAUGGUACAAUAAGUGGAAGGAGCAUAGAAGAUCCCUUCCCCAAGUUGCGGAUUGUGGAUCUGUCCAACAAUCAAUUCACAGGCCAUUUGCCAAUUCAAUACUUUAAGAAUAUGAAAUCAACUGAUAAUUUGUAUCGUUAUCAGAAUUCCACAAAAGUUUUUUCUUUCCAUUAUGAAGCAUCUGUCUCAUUAACUGUGAAGGGAACAGAGUAUGAAGUGAAAAAUAUCCUUCAUAUUUACACAGCCAUUGAUCUGUCCUGCAACAAGUUUCAAGGAGAAAUUCCUGACGUUAUUGGAGAGCUUAGAUGGCUUGCAUUGCUCAACUUAUCUCAUAAUAGUCUAACAGGACCUAUCCCAUCAUUGCUGAGAAAUAUGAAAGGACUCCAAUCUUUAGAUUUGUCUUCAAAUCAACUGACAGGGGCUAUUCCACCUCAGUUAACUGCACUGACAUUUCUAGAGGUCUUAAACCUCUCGGGAAACCAUCUUAGUGGAGGGAUUCCUCAGAAAGGACAGUUCAGCACAUUCAACAAUGAUUCUUAUCUAGGAAACUCAGCGUUAUGUGGAUCACCAUUGACGAAGAAAUGUGCAAACACAGCAUCACCUCCACAAGAAGUCGGAAAUGUUGAUGAAGAUGAUGCGGGUGAUGAAUUGACAUGGGAAGCAAUCUUGAUGGGAUAUGGAUGUGGACUGAUAUGUGGAUUGUCAUCUGCGUACAUUGUUCUCAAACUAGGAAAGCCUUGGUGGUUUGUGAGAUAUAUCGAAGUACUGCAAUUGAAGUUGAUGAAAAGAUAUGCAUGAAGAAUGGUACUAGCCGAUCAAGAUGAACUCGAAAGUUGUGGUCCUUGUGGACAUUUCUGAACCAGUAGUGUUCUAUUCUCUUUGUGGCUGCAUAAGUAUUUGGUAUUGUGUAAUGUUCUGUUUGGUCUUGAAUCAUAAUAAUUUUUCUUUCUUCAGGGGUAUUUAUAAUAUAAACCUUGGUAUUGUGUACUAGCUGUAAUAUUCUGUUUGAUCAAUGUUUAUACCAGUAAUUUUAUGCUCCGCACUGCAUCAUGCAGCUCUCAUAUUAUCUUCAUAUGUGUAUUUAUUUGGAUAUUAAAAACAUAUGGGAUAUGUGUUAACAGGGACAGCUCCCAAGUCUUGGAUAGACUCUUUCCAAGUCUUCCGAGGUCCUAUAGGUUUAAAUUAGUCCAUUAUCUGCAUACUAAUUUGUCCAACUGAAAAAUCAAGGAUAUUAUGUAUUAACUGUUUUAAUAACAAUUUACAAGUAUAAAUUUCAUAUAUUUUUUCAUAGAAUAUAAAUUAGUUGACGUACUAAAAUCACUAGUCAAAUUAAUUUAAAUAAAUAUAUUGAAAAGAUGAUAAUAAAAUUAUGGUAAUUUAUCACUACAACAAUUCUGGACAUUAAUUAUAUGUAUACUUAAAUAUAUUGAAAAGAUGAUAAUAUAGUAGAAUACAAAUGGUUAUGAUUCCGUAGUAACUACACCGUCGUAAGUUCACAUAAUUAUAUAAUUAUAGUUAUUUGAAAACGAAAAAUAAAUGAGAAAAUAUAUAGUGACCAAAUAUGAAUCAAUCUAAAAUUUUCAUUAUGGAGAUCGUAAGAAACGUGAUGAAGAACUGGAAUGAGAAUUCCUUACAAAACAUUUGGGUUAUAUUAUCAAUGAUGAAUGUUGUAUAUUAUACCUAUGAUUUCAAGUCUCAUACAAAAUUAUAUUGCUCAUAGUCUUUCGAUCAGUUCUUACUAGUGUAUGCAAUAGUUUCUCAUUCCAUACCAGUUAUUUUAUGCUCUGCACUGCCUUAUGCGCGCAGCUAUCAUAUUACUGACAGCUAACCUCCUUCCAACACUUUGCCAUGCGAAGCCUGAAGAUUAAAGUUAACAGGGAUAGGUCUUCUUCUCUCCCAAGUCUUGGACGGACUCUUUCCAAGUCUUCUGAGGACCCAUCGGCUCAGAUCCGUCCAUUAAAAAUUUAUUAUUGAUUACUUAUUAUUAUUGAUUGAUCUAAGAUUCCAAAGACAUGUUCCCGUAAUUUUCAGACUUAGCCAGUUGGUGUGGGCAGAAGUUUUAGAAAUAGUAGAUUAUGGGGAUUUUAUUUAUUCUAACCAAUUUUGAGUUAUUUAUUUUCUUCAAAAAAAUCAAUACUUAUUUUUUAUUGUUAUGCGGAAUUCCAAUAAAUAUUAAAAUAUAUAAUUUUGAUUAUUAUCAUAAAUUUAUUUAUUCAAUAAAUAUUAUUAUACUAUUAUGGAAACAUUUUAUUUUGUAAUGUAUAGUACACCCUUAUCCCACCAACAAAACUACAUCACAAACAAAUUAUAUCAUAUUUAAUUUAAUAAACUCAAAUAAUUUAAUUUAUGUAACAACUCUAUAAAAUUAGAGUGAUUGAUACUUUGCACCCCUUAUGUUUAAGCGUUUUUUCAAUUUGGUUUCAAACAAUUUUUUUGGCAGUAUGCACCCCAAAAUUUGAAAAUUGCUUCGCUUUGCACCCUUUUAAUCGCUCUCCGUUUAAUUGAUAUUGACCGUUAAAGACUUAAAGUUGACAGAUAUGGGUUUACAUUUUCAACACCACAAUUUUAAUUUUUUUUCAUGGGUAUUUUGAAAUAUUCAGACGACUGGGAUGAUUCAAGUGUCUUCAUGUUAGACAGUGCGAUAGGUCGGUCGAGGGGUUUUCAGAAACUGGGACCAAAGAUUGGCGCCAUCAGAUUGGAUUUAUAUCAUUGGAAACUCUCUGUACACCUCUAUAGAAACUGGGACCAAAGACAAGAGGGAGAAGCUCUUGUGAAAUGGAAGAAUAGCCUAGCCCCGUCUUCUUCUCUCGACUCUUGGUCCCUCACCAAUCUCGAUAAUCUUUGUAACUGGACUGGCAUUAAUUGUAACUCUGCAGGUUCAGUCUCUGAGAUUAACCUUUGUGAGAAACAACUUGAUGUAAUGCUGUCUGAGUUUGGUUUCACUUCAUUUCCAAAUCUCAACAAUCUCACCCUCGCAGCUAACUACUUCUCCGGUCCAAUACCACCAGCCAUUGAGAAUUUAACACAGCUUCAAUAUCUUGAUUUGAGAAAUAAUUAUCUAGAUGGUCCAUUCCGUUCCAGGUUAGCCAUCUUCAGAGCUUGCUCAUCUUAAACCUGUCACAGAAUGCAUUGCAAGCUCCAAAUUGGUCCGAUUUCUCUCCCAUGCCUUUCUUGCGCAUCCUCAACCUCAGUAGCAAACCUCCUGCGUCGAAAUUCCCAGAUUUUAUAUCCAGUUCUAAUAGCCUGACUCACCUUAGCCUUAAUUAUAACGAGUUUACUGGUGAUUUGGUACGUGAAUCAGUAUUUGCCGAUCUGCAUAAUCUUGAAAAGCUCAGUCUUGUUGGCAAUUCUUUCGAGGGGCCAUUUCCGCCAGAUAUAUUCAGGCUUUCCAAAUUAAAACAUCUUAGCCUGUCAGAUAACAAACUUUCAGGUUCAAUUCCCAAUGACAUAGGGUUGCUUUUUGAUCUUGAAUACCUAUAUUUAGCCAACAAUUCCUUUGAAGGACCGCUUCCACCAAAAAUAUUCAAGCUUUCAAAAUUAAAAAAUCUUGUUAUUUGGGGUAAUAAGUUUUCAGGUUCUGUUUCCAACGAUAUAGGUUUGCUUUCUGAGCUUGAAAGCCUCUAUCUUGACUCCAAUUUUUUUGAGGGGCCGCUUCCGUCAAAUAUAUUCAAGCUCUCCAAAUUAAGGAUUCUUUUCCUUUGGCAUAAUAACUUUUCAGGUUCUAUUUCUAAGGAUAUAGGUUUGCUUUCUGGACUUGAAACCCUCUAUCUUGACUCUACUUUUUUUGAGGGUCCGCUUCCCCCACAUAUAUUCAAGCUUUCCAAAUUAACAAGUCUUGACCUCGCAUACAAUAGAAAUUUAUUUGAAGGAAGUAUUCCUAUUGGACUGGGACUCUUGACUAACCUCAGAUACUUGAGUCUAUCUUCCACUAAUCUCGGUGGCUAUAUUCCAUCUGAAAUUGGAAACCUGAAGCUACUAGAAGUUCUUGAACUCAGUUCUAAUCAAUUGAAUGGACCGCUUUCAAAGAUCAUUUCUAAUCUCACAAAUCUCACAGUUCUUGAUGUAAAUGAUAAUAGUCUUCGUGGAAAUAUUCAGAGUGACUUGUGGAAAUAUGACGAUCAUCCAACUUUGGAAUACAUCGAUUUAAGUGGGAACCAUUUUACGGGUAUAGUUUUUCUCUAUAGAUCUUUUCCUAAUCUCAUAUGUAACUAAGCUAGUAAUCUGAUUAUUGCAGUUUCACCAAAGUUUCAACAAUCUUGACAGGUGAGCUUCCAACAACAAUUUGCAAUGUCACUUCCCUUUUGGUUCUUGAUUUGUCAAAUAAUGAAUUAAUUAGUGGUGCACUUCCAAACUGUUUCGGGAAUCUUGCUGAUAGAUUGCUUUUCAUUAAUCUUGCUAAUAAUCAGUUUCUCCAGGAGUUGUCAGCUGACAUAUCUAAACAUGGAUAAUAAUGAGUUUGAAGGAUUGUUACCCCCAUCUUUGGCGAACUGUAAGCACUUCAAAAUUCUUGAUAUUGGCAAUAAUAAAAUAGGUGGUGCAUUUCCGUCAUGGCUUUAUGUACUUGGAGAGCUGGAAGUCCUUGUCUUGCGAUCAAAUAAACUCUAUGGUACAAUAAGUGGAAGGAGCAUAGAAGAUCCCUUCCCCAAGUUGCGGAUUGUGGAUCUGUCCAACAAUCAAUUCACAGGCCAUUUGCCAAUUCAAUACUUUAAGAAUAUGAAAUCAACUGAUAAUUUGUAUCGUUAUCAGAAUGACACAGGAGAUAUUUCUUUCCAUUAUGAAGCAUCUGUCUCAUUAACUGUGAAGGGAACAGAGUAUGAAGUGAAAAAUAUCCUUCAUAUUUACACAGCCAUUGAUCUGUCCUGCAACAAGUUUCAAGGAGAAAUUCCUGACGUUAUUGGAGAGCUUAGAUGGCUUGCAUUGCUCAACUUAUCUCAUAAUAGUCUAACAGGACCUAUCCCUUCGUUGCUGAGAAAUAUGAAAGGACUCCAAUCUUUAGAUUUGUCUUCAAAUCAACUGACAGGGGCUAUUCCACCUCAAUUAACUGCAUUGACAUUUCUAGAGGUCUUGAACCUCUCGGGAAACCAUCUUAGUGGAGAGAUUCCUCAGAAAGGGCAGUUCAGCACAUUUACAAAUGAUUCUUAUCUAGGAAACUCCGCGUUAUGUGGAUUACCUUUGACGAAGAAAUGUGCAAACACAGCAUCACCUCCACAAGAAGUCGGAAAUGGUGAUGAAGAUGAUGCUUGUGAUGAAUUGACAUGGGAAGCAAU
rnacentral:lncRNA from 1 species